rnacentral:lncRNA from 1 species
UUUUUUUUUCUUCUUUGAAAAUAUGGAAUCACCUUGGUUUCUAGGUAGUUGCGAUUGUGUAGCUGAAAGAUCCAUGUCAUCCAAAGAAACAUCAACUUCGCAUCCAUGGAAAUCAUUUCUUUCUUCAUGAGUAUUUGUAGUAUCUACAUCCUCAACAUCUAUUUCUUCAAUAAUAUUAGUUAUUGUUUGAGCAUCUUUCCUAGUGGCUCGAUCUUUUGCAUAGAUGGCAGUAAGUUGGUCAUAAUAAGGGAAACUACGAUGUUUGAAUUGACCGGCUUCUUUGUUACUUUAUAAAAAAUGAGGAAUCCAUAUUAGAUAUAAGUUUUGUCAAAACAAGAUAAUAAAGACUCGAAAUAAUUCUUACAUUUAUAUAUGAGUUCCACACAACAUCUUCAACAACAACAAUCUACCUAUGAUUGUCCCAACCAAAGCCACUAUUGUUUUUUUCACUAAGCAUGUCAUAAACGAUUGCCCAAUCCCUUUUCAAUGUCUUAAUCCUCAAUUCAAGAUUUGGUUUAGCCUUUAACAUAGCAUGGGUAAAACUUUUUCUAACAUUUUUUCUAGCUCAUGUAAAUAACUAGCUUUAAAUCUCGUAUUUGCAUUAAAGGUUCUAACAUUGUGCAAGUCGACCAUACAGGCAACCAACAUAUCAUCUUCUUCUGGAACCUAUUUCCUUUUGGUUCAUCAAGAAUUUUGGGAAUAAACACUUGAUUGUGUAAAACCUAACAUAAUUAUCUUAAGAAAAAACACAAAUUAAAAAUAAGUUCAAUAUUAUGAAUCAUAAGGUUGACACUUUAUAAAAUUAUAACACAUGAUAAAUCAAAAGAAAAUAAAUUAUAAUUCAACAAGUCUAGUACAAUACAAAAAAUAAUUCAAACACCACAAAAGUUCCAUAAACUAGAUACAUGAAAUAACAUAAACAAAUUAACGUUUACUAUUUUUACCCUAAACCUAACUAAUUUCUAGAUGCUUGCCAUUCAUUGAACAUUUGAUUGGCUAGUUCCAUCCUCCAAGUAUCCCAUGCAUCCGAUGGAUGAAUAUUUAUGAUAUUCGGUUCAUCGUCAUCUAUCACAUUACUAGGUAAUCCUGCUCCCAACUCCACUUUAAUAGGAUCAAAGUUCAUAUAGGUUCGAAUAAAAUUAUGGAGCAAAUAACAUGCAAUAAUGAUUCUAUUGUACACCCUCACAGGAUAGAAUGAUGGACUCCUAAGUAUUCCUUAUCUAAUUUUUAAUAACCCAAAGCAUCUUUCAAUAACAUUACGAGCUGAAGCAUGUUUCAUAUUGAAAAAUUCUUUCGGAGUACUUGGCUGGUAACCCUGACGCCACUUAUUCAAAUGAUAUCUUUGUCCUCUAAAAGGCGUAAGAAAUCCCUCAUAGUUUGUGUAUCCAACAUCAGCUAGAUAAUAACAACCUAUAAAAAAACUAUUUAUCAUGGUUAAUUUCCCAAAAAAGUAUGAUCUUUAAAAUUAAUUCAAAUUCCUCUAAUUUUGCACUUUACCAUGAAGAACUUUUAGUCCAUGUCACCUGUUAAUGGCAUCUCGAAGAACUCAUCCAUCAGCAACAGAACCUUCCCAACUAGGAAGAACUUAAACAAAAUGCAUAUCUGGUGUACAAACACCUAACAUAUUUGUGCUAUGUCACCUUUUUGCAUUCGAUAUCUAGGUCUAUCAACUGUAGGAACCCUAAUCUUGAUGUGGGUUCCAUCUAAAGCACUUAAGCAUUUCUACAUCACAUGUAUAAAACCUCGGGUUAGGAUACUAUAUUUAAAUCUAUAACGAUCUGGUAGUUAGGGUGUCAGAUAGUAAAGUCUGGGAUGCCAUUUUCGUAAAACGAACUCGUAAAUAUUUUUAUUUAAAUAUUUAUGAUGUUAGUUAGUAGUGAACUAGAUUUUGAUUAAGUGAAUUUUGAGAAAUUAAGAAUUAUUAAGGUAUAGGGACUAAAUCGCAUAAGAGUUAAAAAUUAAAUUAUAGGUUAAAAAUUAAUAGAGGGACUAAAGUAGUAAAUAUCCAAUUACCUAAGGUUAGUGGACGGCAUUAACAUGUAUGAUAUAUAUAUGUUAUUUUAUAAUAAAAGUAUAAUAAAAGAAAUAAUAAAAGUUAUAAUAAUAAAAAGAAAGUGGUAACAUGCAAAUUAAAGGUGUAGCGACCUAAAAAUUUGGGCACGGGCGCUAGUUGAAGUAAUCAUUGAAAAUUUGAAAACGGAUUUUGAUUUUAUUUAAAAAGGGAGUCGUCACCAAUCUUUUUUCUAGGUGUGAUCGGACACCUAAUAAAUUCUCUUUUUUAAAAGAAAAAUUAUUUUUUAAAUUUUCUAAAAAAGAGUCGAUUUUAGGUCCAAGUCAAAAUCUAGAGAAAAUUAGGGUUCGGGAGUCGGUUACGCGCGAGGAAGGUAUUAGCACCCUCGCGACGCCCAAAAUUAGUAUCUCGUUAAACGCGUGCUGAAAUGGCCUGCUGCUUGCGCCUGAGCUCUGGGCUUGGACAGGCCUUUUUUUUGCUACUGCUUUUGUUUUUUUACUGCUGCUGUUUUUUUGGGCUGAUCUGCUACUGUUGGGCCUGCUGGGCUGAUGGGUCGGGUGCGGGUUGUAUCGGGUCGGGUCAGUUUGGCCCUGCUGUUAAAAUUUUUAUUUUAUUUUUCCUUUUUCUUUCCAUUUCUUCUUUCUUCUUUCUUUCUUCUCUUUUUCUCCAUUUGCUUCUUCUCCUUCGGCAACCCCGACGUCACUCCCCCAGCCCGGUACGGCAGUAGACAACAGUUGUGGAGCUCUCCUCUCUAUCCUCCCUUAUUUUUUUUCUUUUCUUUCUUCUUUACUAUUUCUUUUUGCUUUUUCUUUUGCUUGCUGCUUUUUCUUUUGUUUAUGCUUACUUGGUUCUUGGCUUGGGUUAAGCGGUGGAGCAACGAUUGUGGUGGCGCGACGAUCGUGGUGGUGGUGGGGGAAAUCGGCUGGAUUUGAGAGCUCUUUUUUUGAAAUUUUUCUGCUGAUUUUUCUUUUCUUUUUUUUUCUUGGCUUCCCAUUUUGGGGGUUUUAAAACCCCUUUUCUCCUUUUUUGCAUGUUGUAGGUGGCUAGGGAGGGGUAGGCCGGCCGCCGCCUGUUGCAAGCGUAAGUUACGCUGGUUGCUGCAGAGGGACCAAAAUGUAAAUACAGUAAAAUUUUUGGGGUCAAAACGUAAUUUUGAGAAAUUUCAAGGGUCAAAAUGUAAUUUAGAAAAGUUUAGGGGUUGAAAUGUAAUUUUGAAAAUUUUAGGGGUUGAAAUGUAAUUUUGAAAGAGUUUAAGGGUCAAAAUGUAAUUUUAAAAAAAUUAGGGGUCAAAUUGCAAAUUUUUUAAUUAAUUAAAAAAACAAGAAAUUAUUCCCGGACAAAAUUCAGUGGUUACAGCUGCCCCUCUUUGCUCAUCGCUGUGAAACAAGGAUAGAGCAAAGACUUAAAAGCACUGAAUUUUGUUCGACCAUCCAAAAUUUUCUUUUUAUUUGAAAAGUAAAAAUCGAGAAUAGCUUGGCGUGCGACCGAGGCUCAACUCACCUAUCGCAAUAUGAGUUGAUUUUUGAAAAACAGAAAUUAAAAAUAAUACCUCGGCAUGCGACCCGAAGCUCAACUCACCUCUAGCAAUAUGAGUUGAUUUUUUGAAAAAACAGAAAUUGAAAAAUACCUCAGCGUGUGACCCGAGGCUCAACUCACCUCUCGCAACAUGAGUUGAUUUUUGAAAAACAGAAAUUUAAAAUACCUCAGCGUGCGACCCGAGGCUCACUCACCUCUCGCAGUAUGAGUUGAUUUUUGAAAAACAAAAUUUAAAAUACCUCACGUGGCACCCGAGGCUCAACUCACCUCUCGCAAUAUGGGUUGAUUUUUGCAAAACAAAAAUUUAAAAUACCUCGGCUUGUGUCCGAGGCUCAACUCACCUCUCGCAAUUUGAGUUGAUUUUUGAAAAUAGAAAUUAAAGAUACCUCGGUAUGUGAUCCGAUGCUCAACUCACCUCUCGCAAUAUGAGUUGAUUUUUUGAAAAACAGAAAUUUAAAAAGAAAUACCUCAGCGUACGACCCGAGCCUCAACUCACCUCUCGCAAUAUAAGUUGAUUUUUUGAAAAACAGAAAUUUAAAAUACCUCAGCGUGCGACCCGAGGCUCAACUCACCUCUCGCAAUAUGGGUUGAUUUUUGCAAAACAAAAAUUUAAAAUACCUCGGCUUGUGUCCGAGGCUCAACUCACCUCUCGCAAUUUGAGUUGAUUUUUGAAAAUAGAAAUUAAAGAUACCUCGGUAUGUGAUCCGAUGCUCAACUCACCUCUCGCAAUAUGAGUUGAUUUUUUGAAAAACAGAAAAUAAAGAUACCUCGGUAUGUGACCCGAGGCUCAAUUCACCUCUCGCAAUAUGAGUUGAUUUUUUUUGAAAAAUAGAAACUGAAAAUACCUCAGCGUGACUCGAGUGUCAACUCACCUCUGGCAUUAUGAGUUGAUUUUUAAAAAAAAAAAUUAAAGAUACCUCGGUAAGUGACCCGAGGCUCAACUCACCUUUCGCAAUAUGAGUUGAUUUUUUUUGAAAAACAGAAAUUUAAAAUACCUCGGCAUGUGUCCGAGGCUCAACUCACCUCUCGCAAUUUGAGUUGAUUUUUGAAAAUAGAAAUUAAAGAUACCUCGGUAUGUGAUCCGAUGCUCAACUCACCUUUCGCAAUAUGAGUUGAUUUUUUGAAAAAUAGAAAAUAAAGAUACCUCGGUAUGUGACUUGAGGCUCAACUCACCUCUCACAAUAUGAGUUGAUUUUUUUUGAAAAAUAGAAACUAAAAAUACCUCAGCGUGACCCGAGGCUCAACUCACUUCUCGCAUUAUUAGUUGACUUUUUUGAAAAACAGAAAUUAAAGAUACCUCGGUAAGUGACCCGAGGCUCAACUCACCUUUCACAAUAUGAGUUGAUUUUUUUUGAAAAAUAGAAACAGAAAAUACCUCAGCAUGACCCGAGGCUCAACUCACCUCUCGCAUUAUGAGUUGAUUUUUUUGAAAAACAGAAAUUAAAGAUACCUCGGUAAGUGACCCGAGGCUCAACUCACCUCUCGCAUUAUGAGUUGAUUUUUUUGAAAAACAGAAAUUAAAGAUACCUCGGUAUGUGACCCGAGGCUCAACUCACCUUUCACAAUAUGAGUUGAUUUUUUUGAAAAAUAGAAACAGAAAAUACCUCAGCGUGACCCGAGGCUCAACUCACCUCUCGCAUUAUGAGUUGAUUUUUUUGAAAAACAGAAAUUAAAGAUACCUCGGUAAGUGACCCGAGGCUCAACUCACCUUUCGCAAUAUGAGUUGAUUUUUUUUAAAAGCAGACUUUAAAAAAAUACCUCGGCGUGACCCGAGGCUCAACUCACCUCUCGCAAUAUGAGUUGAUUUUUGAAAAAACAAAAAUUGAGAAAUACCUCGGCGUGUGCCCAAGGCUCAACUCACCUCUUGCAUUAUGAGUUGAAUUUUUUGAAAAACAGAACUUAAAAAAAACACCUCGGCGUAUGACCCGAGGCUCAACUCACCUCUCGCAAUAUGAGUUGAUUUUUUGAAAAAAAGAAAUUGAAAAAUACCUCAGCGUGACCCGAGGCUCAACUCACCUCUCGCAUUAUGAGUUAAUUUUUUGAAAAAUAGAAAUUGAAAAAUACCUCAGGAUGUGACUCGAGGCUCAACUCACCUUUCGCAAUAUGAGUUGAUUUUUUUUAAAAGCAGAAAUUGAAAAUACCUCAGCAUGACUCGAGGCUCAACUCACCUCUUGCAAUAUGAGUUGAUUUUUGCAAAAACAGAAAUUGAAAAAAAAUAAUUUUUGAAAGAAACAGGGUUUCAAAAACAUCGGGUAAAACUAAAAGCCUCCUUUUCAUUAAUUCUGUGCAGCUUUCUCCUAAAAUUCCUUGCUCUACUGGAUACCUAUAUAUGUCAUGUAUGAUGUUAUCAUGAUAUGCACGUGUUUAUCCUAAAUGCUUUUAUGCCUACAUGAUCAUGCCAUGCACUUUGAACUGUUUGUCACAUGCCCCCUUUUUCGUAAGGGACUACAUUCAUCGCCUCAAACAUCGAUUACUCAUCUUCGAUUUUGUUGAGUGACCCACAUUUUCGUAUACCACCUUCCUGCCCCCUUGUUGAACUUUGUUCCUGCUUUGGGGCCCUUGUAUUUAUCAAAUUCUCAUCCUGGUAAUGCUCAACAUUCCUUUUGUUUAGAGUAUGUCAUCUUACUAUUUAUCAUUUAAAUGAAUCAAACACGAGAUGCAUAAAAAAACAAAGUAGGCAUGAAAGAAAUACCUCACAUUCAAUUUUUCAAAAGCAAUAAAUUAAAGAAAAAUGACAAGGAAGUUCCAAUAAAGAAAGCAUCAUAAAGAAAGGAAAGUGAAUUCAAUUGCCACAAAUGCUCUAGAUAUCCAACGCAUGAACUUGUCCACAUUUCUUCGUUAAGGAUCUUUUCGAGCAUGGCUUCCUGUGUAGAAGAUUUCAAGCUUCUGAGAAUGCUUCAAAUAUUGUAACCUCGCCAUUCGACUCCCCGUUCAAGUCGUCUAUCUCCUUUAAGUUCGAGCCCGUUUCAUUAGGACGCCCUUUCAGGUUUUCAUCCUAAUCUUUUUUGUUUAUCAAGACGCCCUUUUCGGGUUUUCAUCUUGAUUUUUCAUUUUUUGUUUUUUUUCUGUUUUUUUGUUUCUUUUUGUUUCUUUCUGUUUUUUCUGUUUUUUCUAUUUUUUUGUUUUUUUGUUUUUUUUGUUUGUUUAGGCAUAACAUUUCUUCACAGCAUCUGAGUUCACUGGAUUAGGUAAUUCUUUCCCAUCCAUUUCAGUGAGAAUCAAAGCCCCUCUUGAGAAUGUCUUUUUUACAACAUAUGGCCAUUCCCAAUUUGGUGACCAUUUUCCUCGAAAGUCUUUUUAUACCGGGAGGAUUUUUCUUAGUACAAGUUCCCCUUCGCGGAAUUCUCUUGGCCGCACCUUUUUAUCAUGGGCCGUGAUCAUUCUUUUCUGGUACAUCUGUCUGUGACAAAUUACCUUCAAGCGUUUUCCUUCAAUAAGGUUUAGCUGGUCAUAUCGAGCUCGAACCCAUUCUGAUUAUUUUAGUUUUGACUCCAUCAAGACUCGCAGGGAUGGGAUCUUUACUUCGAUAGGCAAAACGGCUUCUAUCCGGUAGACCAGGGGGAAAUGAGUUGCUCCCAUAGAUGUCCGUACAGAGGUGCGAUAUGCAUACAAAGUGAAUGGUAGCUUAUCGUGCCAAUCUUUAUAUAUCUCAGUCAUCUUCCCGAUAAUUCUCUUAAUAUUUUUGUUGGCCACUUCAAUAGCUCCGUUCAUUUUCGGGCGAUAAGGUGAGGAAUUAUGAUACUUUAUCUGGAAUUGCUCACACACUUCUUUCAUCAUUUUGUUGUUCAGAUUCAAAGCAUUAUCUGAAAUAAUUCUCUCAGGCAAACCAUAUCGACAUAUUAUCUCCCUUUUUUAGGAACCUACAGACUGCGGCCUUUGUCACAUUAGCAAACGAAGUGGCUUCUACCUAUUUUGUGAAGUAGUCUAUAACCACAAAGAUGAAUCGAUGCCCAUUAGAAGCCUUCGGGGAGAUUGGCCCUAUAACAUCCAUGCCCCACAUAGAAAAAGGCCACGGAGAAGUCAAGACAUGAAGGGGUGAAGGAGCCGCAUGAAUUUUACUGCUGUAAAUUUAACAUUUAUGACACUUUCGUGCGUAUCCAAUGCAAUCCCUUUCCAUCGUCAGCCAAAAAUAACCAAGUCUCAUAAUCUGUCUGGCCAUAGUGAAACCACUGGCAUGCGUUCCACAAAUUCUUUUGUGAACCUCUUCAAGUAUCUUUCUAGCUUCAACAGCGUCCACACAUCUCAGGAGCACUUGAUAUUUUCCUAUUUUGUAUAGGAUAUCCCCUUCAAGAACACAUCCAAUCGCCAUUCUCCUGAAAGUUCUUUUGUCAUUCUCGUUUGCUUGCUCGGGGUACUUUUGAUUCUUGAUAUACUCUAAGAUAUCAUGGAACCAUGGUCGUCCAUCUGACUCCUCCUCAAUGCUAAAACAAUGUAGGGGGUCUCAUGUAUGCUCAUCUGGAUAGGCAUUAUUUCAGUUUCUUUGUUUGCUUUAAACAUUAAAGCCAAAGUGGCCAGGGCAUCAGCCAGUUGGUUCUCUUUCCGUGGGAAGUAGUUAAAAGUCACUUCAUUGAACUCUUUUACUAGUUCCGCAACGAGAUCGCGAUACUUUACUAAUUUUGAAUCCCUUACUUCCUAAUCUCCACGAAUUUGGUAAAUGACUAAUGCUGAGUCCCCGUGUACCUCUAAAAUUUUAAUUUUCCUCCUGAUGGCUGCACGGAGUCCUAUGAUGCAAGCUUCAUACUCUGCUAUAUUAUUGGUACAGAAGAAAUUCAAUCUAGCAGUGAGCAGGUAAUGAUCCCCUUCCGGCGACACUAAGACUGCUCCGAUCCCAUGCCCCAAUACAUUCGAUGCAUCAUCAAAGCUCAUCUUCCAUGAUUCCUCUUUUGAUGACUCACCCUCUUUUUUCUGAAAUGCACAUCAAGUCUUCAUCUGGGAAAUCAAAUCUCAAAGGCUCGUAUUCUUCUCUUGUUCGACUAGCCAAGAAGUCAGCUAUUGCGCUUCCCUUUAUCGACUUUUGGCUCACAUAUGCGAUGUCAUACUCAGUCAGAAGGAUCUGCCAUCGUGCCAUUCUUCCUGAGAGUGCAGGUGACUCCAUCAUGCACUUUAUUGGAUCCAGUUUUGAAAUUAACCAUAUCGUAUGAUACAACAUGUAUUGUCUGAGCCUUUGAACCAUCCAAAUCAAUGCACAACAAAAUUUUUCAAUUGAAGGGUACUUUACUUCAUACUCUGUGAACUUCUUACUGAGGUAGUAAAUUACCUUUUCUCUUUUCCCCGACUCGUCAUACUGUCCCAGUACGCAACCCAUUGAGUUCUCAAACACGAUCAGGUACAAUAUUAAGGGUUUUCCAAGGGUCAGCGGUACUAGUACCGAAAGAUUAGAUAGAUACUGUUUUAUCUUGUCGAAGGCCACUUGGCACUCCUCGUUCCAUUCUCCCGGAUUAUGUUUUCGAAGGAGUCAAAAAAUUGGAUCACAUUGAUUGUUAAGUUGGGCAAUGAAUCGAGCAAUGUAAUUCAACCUUCCUAAAAAUCCUCUGACUUCCUUUUGUGUGCGCGGGGGAGGCAGUUCUUGUAUAGCUUUUAUCUUAUCUGGAUCAACCUCGAUACCUCUCACUGACAAUGAAACCUAGCAGUUUUCCUAAGGUAGCCCCAAACGUACAUUUGGCCGGGUUAAGCUUCAACUGGAACUUUCUUAAACUUUCAAAUAGCUUCCUGAGACUCCCAACAUGCUCUUUUUCUUCCCGGAAUUUGGCAAUCAUAUCAUCGACAUAAACUUCUAUUCUUUGUGCAUCAUGUCAUGGAUAGCAUCACCAUGGCUCUCUGAUACGUUGCCCCAGCAUUCUUCAAUCCGAAUGGCAUCACCUUAUAGCAGAACGCUCCCCACAUUGUCACGAAUGUGGUUUUCUCCAUGUUUUUGGGAGCCAUUUUUAUCUGAUUAUAACCUGAAAACCAUCUAUGAACGAAAAUAAAGAAUGUUUUGCCGUGUUAUCCACCAAUGUAUCGAUGUGUGGCAAGGGAAAAUUAUCCUUAGGGCUUGCUCAAUUCAGACCGCGAAAAUCCACACACAUUCAUACCUUACCGUCUUUUUUCGAUACUGGGACUAUGUUAGCUACCCAUUUUCGAUAUUUAGAGACUUGUAAGAAGCCGGCAUCAUAUUAUUUCUUGACUUCUUCUUUCAUCUUUAACAGCAUUUCAGGUCUCAUUCUUCUUAACUUUUGCUAAACGGGUUUGCAUUCUGGUUUCAAUGGGAGCCUGUGGACCACCACAUUGUCAUCCAACCCUAGCAUGUCCUGAUAAGAGCAGGCAAAUAGAUCUUUGUACUCACGGAGCAAGACGUUUAAAUUCUGUUUGGUGUUUUCUGAAAUGGAAGUCCCAAUAUUCACUUUUUGUUUUUUUCCUCACUACCCAAGUUUACUGCCUCAACAUAUUCUUGAUUGGGCAGGAUCUGUUUCUCUUCUUAUUCUACCAUUCUCAGUAAGUCGGGAGACGAGACAAAAUCUUCAGUAAAAUCUUCAGCAUCAUUCUUGGCUUCGAAUUCUCCUAAACAAACAGCCUUCUCGAAAUCGAUUUCAGGACUUGUAACUUGAUUGUUCAUACCAUGGAUAUUUGAGCACUUCAAAGGUGAAUGGGAAAUAAAACUAUAGAGGAGCAUCAAAGUAUUGGAAUCAACACACACAAUGUUAUAGAAUGAUAUGAGAUACAUGGAGAGAAAGGAUAUGAAGCGAGGGGGUAAUUAUGAAACUGAUGGAAAUGAGAAGAUCAUGACAAAAUGCAUCUUCAUUAAUGUUCAUUGAAAUGAUAAAGAACAAACAUAAGCUCUUACAAAAGGAAUCCCAUUACUUAGGGACACACAAAAUAGUGGAGAAUUAACAUUGGGCAUUACUCUGGAGAGGACAUAGAAACUACAAGGAGGUCCACAGCAGUCUAGUUGUUCAAAACAUAUCCUAGAGGACAAAGGCGUAUCAUCUCGAUUGCAUCAUCCUCGUUGUCAACAACAUUUAUGCUGAUGUUCUGAAAUCCCUUUUCAUUCAACGCGCUUUGCGGAUUAUCCUACCCCUCAUCUCCAUUUGUUACCGCAUUCACAUUCCCAUUAGCAUGGUUAGGAAGAGGAUUACUAACACCAUCAAAUCGCAGAAUGCCAGCAUCGAUGAAAUCUUGAACCCUCCUUUUAAAGGCAAGGUAAUUUUCUGUAGAAUGCCCCUGAUUUCCAGUGUGAUACAUGCAACUAGCAUUAGGAUCAUACCAUUUUGGGUAUGGGGGCUUUAGGGGUGCCAUGUAAUGCGGGGAUAUUAUUGCUUGUCCAACAGUUUCAGAUAUAACUCUCCGUAUGGCACGGAAAUUGGGUUAACUGAGGUUUUUCAGAAUUGAGUCUCGCUGGUCUUUGCUCAUUUUUGGGUUGGAUUUGUAUAGGUAUAGUGUUUGGUAGGAACAUGGUGAACGGACUUUGGUUAUUCAUAGCGUAGACGGGGUAAGAGGGAGGUGUUUGAUAGUAAGGACUUUGAGGAGGAAAGUAAAAGUUUGUAGGUGGGCGAUAACGAGGUCGUGGUUGGGCUGGGUACGGAUUAGAAAUACAGUGGAUCUCGGUUCCAACCAUAUGGGUUUCUGGCUCCUUUUUCUUUAUGGGUACUGCCCUCUUUGAACUCUCGGGACAUUCUAUUCUCCUACUCUUGAUGGCGAUUUCUAUAAGCUCCUCGAAAAUUACAAUGUCUGCAAAGUCCUCUGUGGCGCUCCCUACCAACUUAUCGUAAAAUAGAGCUUUCAAAGUGUUGAUGAAGAGGACCGUUAUCUCCUUCUUAGUUAACGGGGGUUCCACCUGAGCCGAGAUAUCCCUCCAUCUUUUUGCAUAUUGCCUAAAAGUCUCUGUUGGCUUCUUUUCCAUCAUCUGUAGCGUUAGUCGAUCGGGUACCAUAUCUGAUACAUGCUUGUAUUGCUCACAAAAUGCUGAUGCUAAGUCCUUCCAUGAUCGGAUCUUUUCUCUACUGAGCUGAUUGUACCAUCGAAGAGCCAAUCCAACCAAACUGUCCUGAAAGCAGUGUAUCAGUAACUUAUCCUCAUUCACGUAACCAGUCUUCUUCCUACAAAACAUAACAAGAUGUGCCUUUGGACAUUGUGUCGCAUCAUACUUUUCAAAAUCUGGUACCUUGAAUUUCGGGGGUAGAACCAAGUCGGGCACUCAAUACAGAGAAGACUUCAGUACCUUCUAUUGCUUUGAGCCUUUCUUCUAGGAUCUUAUACUUAUCUUAAGCGUCAUAAUCAUCAGUUUUCAACUUUGCUAUUUCCAUAGGAUCGUCUGGAUCUGGAACAAUUGGAUUUGCUGGAUUAGCCCCGGGGUUUGAUACGAAUAUACCUUGCUCGAGAUGAGCAGGUGGUACAGGACGUUGUUCUAGGACUGUAGGUUCCCCUUGAGGAUAUCCUCUUUGCAUUGCAUGAGUGUGAGGUGGAGUGAAUCCUGAGGGAUAGAGCGGAUCUUGAUCAUUAUUAGCUCUUGAUUGAGGCUCCACAAUAUCAGGGCUCUGCAUGUGUCCCUUUCCUUUGACCAAAGCUGUCAUCAUCUCCAUCAUUUUGGCCAUUUGAUCUCUUUGCUCGAGUGAUUCCUCUCGAGAUCUCACCAUCAUUUCUCCUGCAUCUUGUUGUGACUUGGCCAAUUGCUCUUGUAGCUCUUUUUGGAUUCUUUCCAUCCUUUCAAUUCUUUCAUUGAGUUCAGUAUCCAUAGCUCUGGUUCUUAGACGUGUCCUGUAAGGAUGACGUGACUCCAGACUUGUGUCGCAACUGUGGAUUAUACUGUUUUAGCCUCAGUGAAUGGUAAGGGUGAUAUGUACAUGCAAUGAAUGAAUGAAUGGAUGCUAGUCAUGCGUAAAUAUGCAAAAAUGGUGUUGAUUUUAAUAUAGCCCCAUAUUUUGGCGUUUCAUUUAUCAAAAGAGUCCAUUACAAAAUACUUUGCCAAUGAAGAUACCCCUAGUGCCUGAGUCUCACCGUUUCCAGAUCCUAGUCAAAUCUUCAGGGUUAUUUUGACGAGCAUUUGAAGCCGCCUUCCCGAAAAUAUCAGAGAUAUAUCUUUCCUUUAAACUGUCCCUUUUGCUUUUUGGGCCCUCAAAGACCAGCCUCUGACUACGGUAUUUUUUCUCGGUUAUUUACAUAAUUGACUCCUCCAAUCAGAAAGCCGUUUUUGGCAACCAAUCUCUAAUCAACACAUUCCUAAUGAGAUGCCUAUGAUGCAUGAUGAAAAAUAAAAUGAAGACAAAUAAACUUAGUUAGCAAUCACGACAAAUAUAAACAAAGGAAAACUAUGGAAAAUCCAACAAACUGACCUUCUUUUUUUUGUUUACCCCAUCAUGCUUUACAAAAUAAACUUACCCUACGUGCUCAUCAAUUUACCAGAUACAAAUGUAAAUGUAAAAGAAAUACAAGGUAAGAAACGUUUCUUCCAUGUACUUAUUUUGGUGACUAUUCAACGGACAGAGGUUCGGCAUGGCUCUAAUUGUGUGGCUCGUACGGUUCACUAUAUGUGGUUUUGGUUCUAGAAAGGUACUCGAACUGUCCAUACUGUCACCUACUAAGGUUAGUACGGAGCCUCGGUUAUUGCCCGUCAUGGGCUUGCGAGCUCAAUUCGAGGGAUUACAUUUACUUAUGCCUAUGCGGAGGGACAAGAUUUUUGAAAACACGAAAAUUUUUGAAACACUGGAAUUUUGAAAACACGAAGAUUUUUGAAACAUGAGAAUUUUUGAAAACACGAAAUUUUUUUUAAAAACACAGAAAUUUUUGAAACACGAGAAUUUUUUUUGAAAACACGAAAAUUUUUGAAACACGAUUUUUUUUAAGAAGUACCGUAUUUAACACGAAUAAAUGAUAUUCAUCCCUACAUGGCGAUGAAAUCGUCGAAUUAGUGUCAAAUCGAUUCAACUUAAUAUCUAAUUGUGAUUCUAUUAAACACGAGAAUUUAAAAAACACGAGAAUUUUAGAAUAUUUUCGAUUUUUUUAAAAGGGCGUAUCGUGUUGAACACAAACCGAUGAUAUUCACCCAACAUAGCGAUGAAAUCAACGAUUAAUGUUAAAUCGAUUCGUUGCCUUAUUUAUUGAAAUUAUUUAAAUUUAAAAUAAAAUUGAAAUUAAAUUAAAUUAAAAAUAUAAAUACAAAAAUAUAAAAAUGCAUAAAGUGCUAAUAAUAUUAAAACGAAAUAGCAUAAAAAUACGAGUAUUAAAUUAAAAGUGAAAUAAACGAAAUUACCUAAAAUGUCUAAAACACGAGCUUGGUCGAACGGGUUACGCAAAUUGAAUCCCUUUUUUCUUUUUCCCUUUUUUUUCUUUUUUCUUUUUCUUCUUUUUUUUCUCCUUUUUUUUUCUGCUGGGCUGGCCUGUUGGACUUGGGCUUGCUGGGCCGCGUCACUGGGCCUGAGGGGCUGUUGGAACGGGCCUGGCCUGCUGCUGUGCUGCUGGGCCUGAGCUGCUGGGCUUGGACAAUCCUGCUGUUUUUUUGCUGCUGCUUUUGUUUUUUACUACUACUAUUUUUUUGGGCUGAUCUGCUACUGUUGGGCCUACUGGGCUGAUGGGUCGGGUGCGGGUUGUAUCGGGUCGAGUCAGUUUGGCCCGGCUGUUAAAAUUUUUAUUUUCUUUUUCUUUUUUUCUUUCUAUUUCUUCUUUAUUUUUUCUUCUUUCUUUCUUCUCUUUUUCUCCUUUUUCUUCUUCUCCUUCGGCAGCCCCGACGUCACUCCCCCCAGCCCGGUACGACAGUAGACGACGGCUGUGGAGCUCUCCUCUCCCUCCUCCCUUAUUCUUUUUUCUCUUCUUUCUUCUUUCUUCUUUACUGUUUCUUUUUGCUUUGUCUUUUGCUUGCUGCUUUUUCUUUUGUUUAUGCUUACUUGGUUCUUGGCUUGGGUUCAGCGGUGGAGCAAUGAUGGUGGUGGUGCAACAAUCGUGGUGGCGGUGGGAGAAAUCGACUAGAUUUGAGAGCUCUUUUUUUGAAAUUUUUCUGCUAAUUUUUCUUUUCUUUUUUUUUCUUGGCUGCCCAUUUUUGGGGUUUUUAAACCCUUUUUAUUUUGAUUUUUCUUCUCCUUUUUUGCAUGUUGCAGGUGGCUAGGCAGGGGUAGGCCGGCCGCCGCCUGUUGCAAGCGCAAGUUGCGCUGGUUGCUGAAGAGGGACCAAAAUGUAAAUGCAGUAAAAGUUUUAGGGUCGAAACGUAAUUUUAAGAAAUUUUAAGGGUUAAAAUGUAAUUUAGAAAAGUUUAGGGGUUGAAAUGUAAUUUUGAAAAUUUUAGGGGUUGAAAUGUAAUUUUAAAAUAGUUUAAGGGUCAAAAUGUAAUUUUAAAAAAUUUAGGGGUCAAAAUGCAAAUUUUUUAAUUAAUUAAAAAAACACGAAAUUAUUCCCGGACAAAAUUUAGUGAUUACAAAAGGGGAAAAAAGAAAGAAAAGAAGGGAAAUACACAGGGCUUAGGGACUUAGGAGUUCAAGCUGAAAUUGGUUAGUGCAAUUUAGUCUUUUUUUGUAAUUUUUACGUUUUUGGAAUCCUGAUACUUAGGCUUAGUCAACCCGUGUUGCAAUUUUAAGUAUUGUUUAGAAUUUUAGAUGUUACUGUUGUUGUAUAGGUUAAGUAUUAGGGAUUAAAUUGAUAGAUUUUUAAGUUAAAAGUGAAAAAGGACUAAAUAGUGAAGUAAUUCUUGAUUUUGAGUAAUAGGAACUAAAUUGUGAAAAAUUGAAAUUUAAGGGUAUAAUUUAAAAUAGGGAGUUAAAUUUAGUUUAAAGUGAAAUGAGUAUGAAAAUAUAAAAUUUAAUGUGAAGAUUACAAAUUAAUCUCGAUUUAAAGACUAAAUUGAAAUUUAAGCAAAUAUUGUGUAAAAAAUUUAAAUAUUCAAUGUGGAAUCGAAUUGUGUAGUAUUAAUGUAUUUUAAUUGUUUUAAUUCUAUAGCUAAUGUCGUAUCGGAAUCUUCAACUAAAAAGGGGAAGGAUAAAAUCAACGUUAAAUAGCUCAGAAUCCAUGAUUUGUGUUUCUAUAAUCCGAACUAAGUUGUAAAUUAUUGCAUUUUGAAUUAUUGCAUAUGGUAAGAAUUGGAGGUGAUAAUUAUUAUGUUUUACGAUUGAAUUGAAUUCAUAGUUGAUUGAAUUGGAUUGAUUUGGUAUAUGUUAUAAAUGUAUUGAGUAUUUGGAAAUUGAAAUGAAUAUAUGUUGAAAUAUGAUAAUGUGCAAAUAUGAGAAUUGGAUAUUGGUUGUAUUUGAAGAUUGAAAUGAAACUCUAUUAACUGUAUCGAGCUGAGUCGGAUAUGGUUGGAAUACCAUAGGAUAGGAAGAGUUCACCGAUUUCUUCGACUUCGAGUCGAUGAGGCACUUUGUGCCAAACUGGUGUGUUGGUUGUAUCCGUGUAUCCGUCCAAGUCUGAGUCGUGUUAAUAGGGAUAAAUAAAUAAUAAAGUUCUAUAAUUGAUAUUGAAAUGACAUGGUAUGUGAAAUGGAAAUGAGAAAGUGAAUUGAAAAAUGAAAGGUGGAAUAUAUUGUGAACAAAUGAACUAAAUGAGUUAUGUACUCAUGAAUUGAAUAUGGAAUGAAUAAUGCCAUAAUAUAAAUGAAAUGUGGAUUGAUAUGUGAAAAGUUAUUUAUAUAGCAAUUGAUGUAAAUUGAGAUAUUGUUAAACAAAUCCAAUAUGAUAACAUGUGAAAAUUAAGUAUAGUAUGAAAUGAUGUGGUAAUAUGUAUGAAUUUGAAAUAGUGAUAUCUUGUAAUUGUAAGCUUAGACAAUAGUAUGUUGUAUAAUUCAAUUUGAACAUUCAAUAUCAUUAUGACAAUGUUUGGAUUAUAGAAAUAUUACUGAGUUUUACUCAUCGUGUGGUUUUCUUUAACGUGCGCAGGUUAGGUAUUUCUCCUUUGAUCAUCGACUUAGCAUCCAACAACGAUCUCGAUCUCAAGUGCAGUGAUGUUUACUUUUUGUAAGGGCAUGUACCUAGGAUGUCUUAGUUGAUAGUUAUUUUGUGAAUGGAUUGUAAUUUGAGUUAUAAGUAUAAUGUUGGUUUGAGUAUAUAAGUAUAUGUUUAUGUUUGAAGCCAUAAUUUGGCAUGUAGUUUUAAACCAAUGCUUGUUAGGUGUAAGUGAACUUAAGCUUGAUGUUUUAGAUAGCUAUACGUUAGGCUAAAUUGAGUGAUUUUGGCAUGCUUAAAAUCUUGAUUUAAAUGAUGCAUUGUUGAUAUGUUUUGAUGAUAUAAAAUGUGGUACCAAUGAGGGUACAUUAGUUAGACACCUAAGAUGAUUGUUUUGGCAUGUUUUAAGUAUGUUUGAUCGUAUUUUGAGAAGGUUAAAUGAUUGGUUUUUGAGUUGCUUCAUGCCCAAGCAACUAGGAAAUGGUAAACUUGUUGUUUAAGGUACAUUUUGGGUCUACACGGCCAGACACAUGGGCGUGUGACUUGGCCGUGUGAGACACAUGGCUUAGCGACACGGCCAUGUGUCAUCUGAUGAGUGCUUAGGGUGCAAGUCAGUUAGCAUAUGGCCUGGUACACGGGGCGUGUAGGUCUAUUUUGAGAGUUACACGGCCUGACACACAGACGUGUGACACGACCAUGUGACCUUACUUAGUGAGUUACACAGGCUGAGACAUGGUCGUGUGUCUCAAGUUCAAAUGUUACACGAGCAAGGACAUGGGCUGGGACACGGCCGUGUGUCCCUAUUUCGAUUGUUACACUGCCUGAGACACGGGUAUGCGUCUUAGCCAUGUGAGGCAUAUGACUGUGCGACCCUUAUUUUCAAAUUUUUGUGAAUUUUUCUUAGGGUUUUCAAAUGAAUUCAAAUCGGUCUAAUUUUUUUCUAAAGUAUUUUUAGGGCCUUGAGGGCUCGAUUUAGGGACAAUAUGUAUAUGUAUGAAUGGUUUAGGUUCUGUUUAUAACAUUGAGUGAAAUUAAAUAUAAAUAUUUUGAUUGUACAGUAAUUCUCAUAACCCUAAUUUGAUGACGGAGAGGGGUUAAGGGUGUUACAUUUAAAUUAACUAAAUUAUGUACGAGCUAUAUAUGGAACUCACUCCAAUACCUUGAACAAUUUCCACCUUGGGUCUGUAGAAUUAACUGUAAUUGACUCUGUUUUUUUAAAUAAUACAUCUUGUAAGUAUAUGACAGCAUUAAAACAUUGUCAUAUAAUCUGCUAAUGAUUUCCCUAGACCUAUUAAAGUGAUGCUUGAUAACUCGAUUUUUAAGGUGAUGAAAAUGAUAUGUAAAAACAUUGCCACUUUCUCAUCAACAAGCAUGUUCCUUGAUGACAUCAAUCCCUCUAAAAUUUGUAACAUCUCACAUAGUUUAAAAAAGGUAAUUCUAUUCAUCCUAACUUGUUCAAUACAUGUCUGGUCACUAACAUAUACAAGUCUUUUCACAUAAUCUAGUUUUGCAUAAAAAUCUAAAUAUAUGAUCUAAUCCUUGGUCUAUAAGUAUGUAGGCUAUGGAUGGCACCCAAUGUAACUAAGAACCAACCCGCAACUGUACACAUUUGCAACCAUACUAUCAAUGUAAGAUCAAUUCUUUUACGCCUCUCACUUUGUAUUAUUAAAGGCAGACGAGCCAUUAUUGUAAGAUAUUAAAGUGUUACAUAUCUUCAAAUUAUAGUAAAAUGAUCACAUUUCUUCAAUACUAAUUUUAAUAAUAGUAAAACAAAAUAAAAAAUUUAAUAACCAAAGAACUUAUAGUGAUUUAGUGAAUACAAGAAGCUCAACUGUGGGUGGAGGAAGCAAUCAAGCAAGCCAAAGAAGAAGAGGAAGAAAUAACACAUAGUCAAAGAAAAAUGAACAAUACGUAUUAAGAAUCUUUGCAAAGCACAAAAUAGAAAUUAUAACUAUCUUUGCAAGUAAAACUUGAAAUUCAUUUCUUUAUCAAAUUUCAUUCAACAAAAUCGACUCUUUGUUUGGCAAAUAAUAAUGUCUUGAACAAAAAUUAUAGUUAGUUUAAAAUAAAAAUUAAUGAUGAACAUCUAAACUUGAAAUACAUCCACAUCCAAAUUACAUAAUUUCCAGUUUAUAGAAAUAUACAUAUAUUAUAUGAAUUUUUAAAAAAAUUCAAUAUUUAAUUUACCCUUUAAUCUUGUAUUCAUCCUCACAUUGUAAUUAACUAAAUAUACAAAUAGUAGCCACGUAUGGUGGGAUUCGAACUUAGGUGCUUAAGGAUGGUGGGAUGCGAAGUUAAUUUUAAUCUUAUAACCACCAUAAAAGGAUGGUGGCAAAAGCGUCUUUGAUUAAUGUGUCAAAUAGCUAAUUUAUAAUUUAUAUAAAAAUAAAUCAAAUUACAAACCCUUCAAAUAUGCCCUAUUUAGAUUUAAAUUGGUGGGUUUAAUUUUUUUUUUGAAAGAACAUUUAAUUACUUAUUUGGGUUUAUUUCAUGUUUGGACUUGAAAAGUAAAAUGCUUGGAUAAGGGCUUGGGUUUAAGUAUUUUAAUUAUGUAUAUAAUCUAAUCAUUUCAAUUGUCUCUUUAAAUCAAAUGAAAUUAAUUUGGAUCAUCCUUGGAAUCUUAAUCUCGAAUACCAGAAUAGAAAGAUAAUUUGUUUUUGACGUCCUAGAGAAAUCUAGCGUGGGGAUAUUAUUAUUUUCUUCAUAAAGUAAACCGAUUUACAUGUCACAAAGCAUCCCAUGCACGUGUCUAUAGAGAAUCAACUUUUAAUCCUACUUGUAAUCUUUUCAACAAGAGGGUGGAAGUCACUAUAUCUCAAAUUCCUAGUUACUAAUGGUACAACAAGGUACCUAACUAGGAGAGUUCCAAAUUUCAGGCCAGUAGGUUCUACAAUUUCUUACACCUUAAAAUAAGCAAUUAACUUUUCACCAACAUAACUAAGUUCGUUAGAGUUAGAACAAAAAACAUGGAAGCUAGACUAUUAGAAUACUAGGUUUUCACACACAGCAAUACCAACUAAAUCUAGUAAAGACGCCUCGAUAACUUAGCAUUUUUGUUUUCAUUGACCAUACCAUAUAUAAGAUGGUCCAGAAAUUGAUCCACCUUGCAUAUUCGAACUUGUGACAUUAAUUAGAUGAUGAAACAUGAUCAUGCAAUGUAACACCACAUGAAGUAUGGAGUAUGAAGUAGUGGAUCCUAAUGAACACAUUCUCCUUUAAGAUCAUCCAUUGAGAUCUCAAGCACAUAGUGCGUGUGAAUCCUUCUAAAGCAAUCUUGGUACCUUGAGUAACAAUAAGCUCCAAAGAAACAAACUAUCGAGCAAAUAAAGAGCAAUAGAAAAUAAUUCAAGAACUACUCUGAUCCAAGACAGUAGAUUUCACACUAGAUCGAAUCCAUUUACCAAAUUGAAUUUACUCAAGAGCAUCAAUAAUUAAUAGAUCAAGCUAUUUUACUAAUCUAUGACUAGCAAAGAAAUAAAUAGCCACAUUCACAUCACUUCAAAUUAAGAUUAACAAAUUUAAUGUAUUGAAACUAGAAGUAGCACAAAUGAACAGAUUGAAACUCAUUCAUCAGACUAGAUUAUCAAAGUGCACCAACUAGACCCAAUAACGUUCAAGAAUAAUAGAAAUAGAUGAAAAUCCUCCAAGCAGAGCAUAAAAGGCACAGAAAAUUAUCAACUACAAAUGCCACCAGAUUUAGCAAAUACCUUCAAAUGAAGAUAGACAACCACCUUAAAACACUCAAAGAUAUAUUGAUAAACCAUCUAAAUUGAUCAAUCACCCUAAAACAACCAUAGAUGUAUCAUAUCUAACCAACAAUAUAUUCUAACAACUAAAUAUUAUCGAAAACUUGAAAACAAACUCAUAAAAAAUAGAGAUUUCAACAUUCUCCAGUUGAUGCAUAAAACAGAGUGAAAUUUGGGAAAAAAAAAAGAAAAACAUUUUAUCUGAAUUAACUCUGUUAACAUGAUGAGGCUGUCCAACUAGGUUGUCAUUAGUUGAAUCCUUUUUGCUAGUUCUUUCACACUGCCCCCACUAUUACUGCCUUCCUUGUUUGAUGAUCCAAAACAAGGAAAACACCCACCCAUAAUCAAACCCCAGAAUUAAAAAAAAACCCAAAAUUUAAUACAAAAUGAAGGCAAAUAAACAAAAUCGAUUUACAUGAAAAACAAGAUCAAAGAAGAGGUAGAAAGGCUAAACUCACUGAAAGCCUAGUAGGAUAAAAAUUUAGAUCCAAUAAGGGAAGAAGACUAACAACAGAGACUGAAAUGGUGAAGUAAACUGUAACAAAAAAAGGCAGAAAAAUAUUAUAGGUAAGAAAAAAUGGUAGAGAGGAAAAUGAAAGGAGCAUCGGGAAGGAGAAAUGUUUACCUGAAGGACGCUGGUUGAAGGAGAAGAGUGUCGGAGUCGAAGGAAGUAAGGAAUGGUUGUCGUUUGAGUGUUUUUGAUGUGAGAAUUUGGUGCGGGUAAGAUAGGGUUCUUCAAGCAUCGAAUCAGUAAUCGGUGGAGAGGGAAGGGAAUAGAAAUCACCAAAUUUCCCUGCAUAAGCCUAGAAUGUAAUACACCCGUAAUAGGGUAUUCUAUUGAACCGAACAACUAUUUGCAUAGGCUUGCAGAAUAGACUUGUAAUGGCAUAGCCAUUACAUUAAACCAAAAAUCCCCUUAGGGUCUUCUCUGGAAAGGAGACAUUUUGUUUGUAAAAACAAUCAUAGGGUCAUGAUCAGAUAAAGCAACCGACAAAUUGAAAACUGAGAUUUUUGUGCAAUUUUUGAAAUAGUGGUAGUUAGGAAAUGCCAUGUCAAAUCUUUCCUAAACAACAUCAUUUUGUUGUCGAUUGUUUGCCCAAGUGAAAUAGGAGUCCUUAAAAGGUAUUUCAAAGAGGAAGUAACCAUUAAUGUAUUAUAGUAAAUCUUAAGCUCCUUUUAAAUCAUUAGAAAGAUUAGAGAACUUGUCUUUGUACCAAAUGGCCUAAUUGCAAUCACCCAAUACUAUCCAACCUUCAUUAUCUUUAACAAUUUCGGAGAAAUCCAAGAGCUGUUCCCAAACAUUAUGUCUUCCACACAGCUUAGGUUUACCAUAAAUGUAAGAAAUCUAGGUUUUUAAGUUAUUGUCCUCCAUGUAGCAAGAAAUGAAGUUUUCAUUAAUAGAAAUGACAUUGCACCUAACAUUUUUACUCCAAAAUAAAACUGUCCCCCCACUACUAAAGCCUUUGUGUUUUGUGCCAACAAAAUAUCCAAAUUUCUAUUAGACAACAUCUUUCUAAAACUCAUAAAUGCUUAUUUACCUAAAUGAAACAUUUCAAUCUUAUGCUAUAUACAUAUAUAUUAUAUACAACUCAUGUACCAUAAAUAAAAAUAACCAUUAUAUCCAAAAUACCAAAUCGACAACUUACCACUUAAAAUCGGUUCAAUCUUGGGUACAUGCCACAUAUUGAAACAUAAAGAACUGUAUGAACAUUUCUUAGUCGAAAGUUGCAAUUUCGAUGUUAGGUCAAGUCUCGAGUCUUUAAGAUCUACUAAUACUUGUGCACAGAAUAAAAAGUAGAACGUUGAGCGAGAAAGCUCAGUUGUACUUCCAUGAUUUAAAUCAGUAUAAAUGAAAGCAUUAAUAUGAAAAGAAUAUAAUCAAUGUAUGAUCAAGUUUCAACCCUUUCAAUUACCUUUCAUGUACCAAAUACCAAGAUUAUGCACAAUCUCAUUUUACGAGCCAUAUGCAUAUUUCAUAUGUAUGAAUACAUGAUAUAUGUAACACCCUUAACCCGAUUCGAUUUGCUAAAUUUAAAUUUUAGGUAUUAACAUACGAGUAUAGACAAAAAUUUAAUCUACUUAUACAAUUUUCAAUUAAAUACAAAUUAACUUCAAACAGACUCGAACUAAUUUACAUAUGUAUAUACAAUAAGUAAAUGCAACUGCAGCAUGUGGUAAUUUAAUUACAAAAAAUAUCUGAAUUGAGAUCCUAUUCUAUUACAGCCAUCCCAGAAUAUGGAUUUCUAAGUAAUCUUUCAGACUUUGAACAUGCCACCAAACACGUUUUGUAUGCAUAAUAACUCGAUAUACCAUUUCUUUUGGCGUAGUCACAGUAUGGUCCCUCCUAGCGUAGAACUUAGUGAGAGUUACAACAUUUACCUAUGUGUUAAUUGCACAUUGUAGUCGAUGAAUCGAAAUGAUGAUCUUAUUGUUCUUGCCCUUGAACCUGUCUUUGGCGAAUACUUUUCUCAAAUUUCAUUAUUCAUAUACCAUAGAUAUCAUGCCUCCCUCUAAAAUAAUUUCUUUUCCCAUUAAAGUCUUUAAUACAUUACGCAUGUCUUUCCAUUUGAAUAUUUAUAAAUCUUUAUUUAGUACACGCUUCAAAUUCUAACCCAUUCUUAUCUAAAUCUCUUCAAUUCAUUAUUUUCAAUCGAACCAUAGUCUCAUAUAAUACCUUACCGUAUAGGCCAUGGAUUCAUUACACCUUACUGAUUUUACAGAUUACACUUAAAGUUCAUUUUGAAUAUGCCAACCUAGUCAUUCCUUAAGGUGCACCACAAAGACUAUGAUAACACCCUAAACUCGUAUCUGUUGCCAGAAUAGGGUUACAGAGCAUUACCGUAAAAAAAUAUAAGUUUGAAACAUACACUUCAACAUAAACAUAGCGUAAAUCAUUCAUCAACAUGCAUAUCGUCCCUUAAUCGAGCCUUUGAGGCCUUAAAAACACUUUAAAAACAAUUUGAGACUAAAUCGAAAAUGUUUUGAAACUCACAUGGCCGUGUGACUCACAUGGCUGAGACUCACGCCCGUGUCUCAAGCCCUCUAUCAAUCAAAUUAGGGACACAUGGCCGUGUUUCAGCCUAUGUCCGUUCCCGUGUAACUCUCUGAGUUGGAUCACACGGCCAAGCCACAUGCUUGUGUACCAUGCCAUGUAACACUCAAAAUGGCCUUACACGCCUAUGUACCAGGCCGUGUGCUAGGCUGUGUAACUGACUGACUUCAAUCCAUUAAAAACCUACAAUGGGACACACGACCAUGUCACAUGGUCGUAUGUUACACAUGGCUGAGACACACGCCCGUGUCUUAGGCCACGUGGAUAAGGAAUUGACCAAAAUCAAGCCAUUUCCUUCACCAAUUUCAAGCAUGUACCUACUAGCCAUUUGCACCCUUAACCAAAGCAUCUAAACAUACCAAUUAAAGCAUAAAACAACUAAUUCAAUGAACCAUAAAUCCAUCCAACCAAUAUGCAAACAAGGUACCUCAAAUGUAUUCAACCAUAUCUCACCUAAACAUGGAAACAUUACCACAUUUCAUACAUACCUAUCAAGAUCAAUACCAUUUUAGAAUUUACCAUAUUUUGACCAAAUCAAAACUAUUCCAACACAUACCAUAUUGGCUUUAAAAUCAUGCAUUAUAUCUUAACCAGAAUGACACAUACCAUCAAGGUAUCAAAAGUUCCAUAAGUACCAAAAGUUUACCAACCAUAAUAACACAUACUAGAAAGGCAUCAAUAAGUACCAAAAUGACAUUAACCAACCGACAUCAAAUGGUACUAAAACAACUUAUACAUGCCAGCAUCAUCAACUAACAUCCAAUUAGAUACUGAAACAAGUCCUCCUAUACAUGCCAUUAUAAUCUUAUCCAAAACAUCAAAACUACCGCUAUAAUCGUUAGAUGGUGUGAUAGAUCUCAGACAAGCUUUCAACUGAUCGAGCUUCCGAUAAUCUGUAAAGUAAAGAAAAAUAACUACGUAAGCAAUGAAUGCUUAGUAAGCUCGUAUAAACUUUUAACAUAACAUUCCAUUUCAAUAAUGAGUUUUAUAGGGUAAAUAUAAACCUAUACCAAUGCCACAAGAUUUAUAAAACUAUAUAACCAUAAACUCACAAAUGAGUAAAUCCCUUAACAUUACGUAUACUUUUUAUUCAUAACAUAAUAAGAUCUUAUAAUUUGUAUUACAUAAUCAACAACCUUUUCUUAAGAGGAUGAACCAUUCCAUUUACUUAGCAUAAGCUUAAAUAACAUUAUCAAUUCACAAAUUAGUGUGUUUAUUCAUAACAUAGGUAAAUUCAUCUAUAGCAUAAGUAAAUUUCUCAUAUAUAAGUAAGUUCUUUAACUCAUCAUCCAUUUAACUCAUCAUAAUAUAUCUCAAUUAUGAACUUACCAUUUCUGUAACACCCCUUACCCAUAUUCGACACCGGAAUAGGGUACGAGGUAUUACCAGAACACGUACACUUGUAAACGUAUUGAACCGAGUUAUAAAAUUCCAUUAAUUAUUAAAAAUUUCAAAUUAUUAACAUGCUUUUAUAAUUCUUCACAAUAUAAAUAAUGCAACAUUUCCUACCAACCACAAUCGAGCUUCCGAUAAUCAUCUCACUGCAUCUAAUAAUUGUACAUAUUACCAAUAAUAAUUCAAUUUCAAUAAUAAAACACAUAUCUAUAUAAUAUUCAUCAUCAAAUAACAUUCAAUUUAAUUAAAGUUAUGCAGAAUAUAGUUCAUACGAACUUAUCAGGCUAAAUUACAGAAAUACCAAAAUUUAGGGACAUUUUGGUAAUUUUAUAUUUUCUCGAAUUUCCACCCAAUCUUGAUCUAAAUUAAUAUUUCAUUUAAUUUACUAAUUUAAAUAAUAAAACAAUUCAUUUCAUGCAAUUUGGUCACUUUUUGACAUUUUUUACAAAUUUACCCUUAAAGUUUCACAUUUGUUCAAUUUAGUCCCUGAACCUAAAACAUGUAAAUUGGUCAUUUUUAAUGAAAACUCAGGCUAGUUGAAUAAUCAUAUAUUUUCCUCCUCCUCCUCUCCAUUCCACAUCCUUAAUGUAUAUAACAUGCUUAUAGGUAACAUUAGCUAUAAUUUCACCAUUUACUUAUAAAUUCAUUCAAAGCAGUCCACUUGAGUCAUAGCCACUAAAUUAUUUAUAUCUUGAGCUACAGAACUCAAAAUUAAUAUAUGUUAAUUUUAUUUGAAACUAGACUCAAAUAUCGUCUUACCAUAAAAUUUUCAGAAUUUUUGGUUUAGCGAAUAAGUACAGUUUAUUUUUUAAAUUCAUCCCUGUUCUGCUGUCUGACAGUUCCAACCCUUCUUCACUAAAAAUUAAUUAUCUCCUCGUACAGAAUUUGAAUGAUGUUACCAUUUGUUUCUAUUGAAAAUAUACUCAUUAAGUAUUUAAAAAUAUAAAUUUAAGCCUCUAAUUAUUUUUCUCCAAUUUUUGAUGAUUUUCCAAAGUCAGUACAGGGGAACCCGAAAUCAUUCUGACCUUAUCUCACAAAACCUAUUAUAUCUCAUAAUUUACAAUUCCAUUGCUUACACUGUUUCUUCUAUGAGAAAAUAGACUCAAUAUUAUUUAAUUUCAUAUUUUUUCCAUCCUAUAAUUCAAUUUAUACGAUUUUUGAUAGAUUUUCAAAAUCAGACUACUGCUGCUGUCUCAAAACUGUUUUAGUGUAAAAUGUUGAUAACUAAAUUUAUAACAAUUUCCUUUCCUUUCUCUUCAAUAUUUUCCAUCACUUUCUCUUAUUUCCCUUUACUAACAUAACAAGAAUAUAGAACCUUAUAUAAUGAAACUCUACCUUAACAUUAAUUUCCUACUUUUUCAAUAAUAUCAAACUCAAAAGUAUAUAAAAAUCUUGAUGUUCUUACCUUAUGCCAUUGAUUUCAAUCUUUAACUUGAUUUUCUCCCUCCUCCAGCUUCUAUUUCUUGAAUCUAACUUGAUAUUCUAGCUCCCCAUAGUCUCCUUGUUAUCUUUCUCUCUUGAUGAAUAUGGAAAUUCUUUUGAUUUCUAAGUGAAAAUGGUGAGUUUUUGGUAAAAGGACCAAAUUGUAAAGAAAAGAAAGUUUCUCUCUUUCUUUUCUCUUUAUACGAUAGUUGCAUGGGAAAGAAGAUGAUGAUUCUUCAUCUUUUCUUCCAUAUAUUUACACUAAAUAAAAUAUCAUUUAAAAAUCAAAUUAAAAUAUUAAUAAACUAAUAUUUAUUUAUUUAAUCUAAAAUAUCUCCAACAUCAUCAUUAUUUUCUAGAUUUCUAUUUCUUCUAAUUGACCAUUUUGCCCUUUAGAUCUUUUAAAAUUCCAUCCUUGAGUCGUCACUUAAUUUGGUAAAAUUACAAUUUAGUCCCUCAUAAUUCUUCAUCUAUUCAAUUUGGUCCCAAUUCAUCCAUCUUCCUUAGUUUCUUGAUUAUUCCACCCUUAAAAUAUUUACACUAUUGGUCCUUCAAAUUUUUCAUAUUUACACUUUAACCCCUCAAAUUUUGAGUAUUUACUCUUGGGUAACAAAACUUUUCUCACUUUUGAAAUUUAAUCCUUUCUUGAAUUAAUAUGUCAUAAUAUACUUUCCAAUGUUGACAUAACUCAAUUACCUUUUUUAUCACGUUAUUUCCUUAUUUCACCAUAUCAGGGAUAUUAUCUUACUUUCUUACUGUAGUAAUUUUCGGAGUAUUACAAUUUCAUAGCUAAUUAACCCUUCUAGCUUCUAGAAUUCAAAUUCUACAUUUUAUACAAAUAGGUCCUUUCCUUACUUAAUCACUAAAUCAUAUCAGUAUUUUCAUGCAACCUUCCUAUCAUAAUGCAACCCAUGUCAUAAUUUUAAAAUAAAUUUUUCCUUGUCGGAUUUGUGGUCCCGAAAUCACUGUUCCAUCUAGACCCAAAAUCGGUACACAAUACAAGACAUAAGCAUAAAAAUCAACCAAUUACACAAGCUUGACACAAGCCUAAAUAUUAUCAUCGAUACACAAGUUAGUGCAUUUAUACAUAACUCUUUUAGAAUCAACCACGUGAUAAGCCAUUUCAUAAGAAAAUAUAUCUUUUGAUUCAUACAACAUUUUCAUGCACAUAAGCAUAUUUCCACUUGGAUACUUACCAUUUCUAUGUAUAUCAUUACAAUUAAGCAUGGUAUAAUCCAACCAUAAGCUUAGCACAAGCCUAAGCAUCAUCCACAACACAUGUUAAUGCAUCAACUCAUAAUUCGCCUGAAAUAACAUGAGGAAAAUCAUUAUACAUGAACAACAUCAUUUGAAAUCAUCAAUUUCAUGAACAUAAGUACUAAACAUUUCCUUUUCAAUCCUUUUCAUAGAUUCAUGACAUAAAUUAUUUGAACACUUACAGUUCCUUUCCUUUCCAUGCCUGUUGAACCACUUAGAAUAAUAUUGGAUACACAGGAAGGCUCACACAAAGUGUGCUAAACAUAUGGUCGAAACCAUUUUUCUUUUCUUUUACAUCGUUACUCACUCGAGCCAUAAAAUUGGUCUGCUCAAACAAGUUGACGGUCGGAAUGUAAGCUACACGAUGCCGUUCACACAAGCUGAUGAGCAUCCGCAACAAAUGCAGGACCUUAGCCAUCGAUAGGACAUUCAAGACCAGCACCCAAAACAUGGUAACCCCCAAUGACAUGUCAUUUGUAUCCUAUAUAUUCCUAAAGUUCAAAUAGGGCUCCAGAAUCUUCAAUUCAUCAUAGCAUUGAUAUAUUUAUACAUAUUGAUUCUUUUACAUCAAAGCAACAUAAUAAUUAUUCAAUCGAAGCAACAAUAAAGCAACUAGAGUUCAUACGAACUUACCUGACUAAAUUGUGGCAAUGGUUAAGUACAAGGGUUAUUUGGUAAUUUUCUCUUCUCCUUUAUUUCCACUCGUUCUUAAUCUAAAUUAAAAUUUUCAUUCAAUUCAUUAAUUUAGAUAGCAAAACCAAUUCAUUUUAUGUAAUUUAUUCUUUUUUAAAAAUUUAUAAAAUUACCCCUAAUAUUUUACUUUAUUUAAUUUAGUCCCUAAGCCUAAAACAUGCAAAUUAACCAUUUUUACUCAAAUUUGAGCUUAGUCGAAUUUAUAGGAACCUUACUACAUCCCAUAUUUAAUGUUAUUAUAGAUUAAAUCCUUAUACUUUUACUAUUUUAACAAUUUAGUCCCUAAUGGGUAAAUUCAUCAAAAAUCGCUUAACAAAUUACUUAUAAAUAACAAUUAAUACUUUAAAUUCAUCAUUUUACAUCUAGAAUUAAAAAAGAUUCAUUAAUGGAAAAAUUCAAAAUCUUUAACAGUUUCAAAAACGAAGGUACGAGCUAGUUAGACCUAGUUGCAACGAUCUCAAAAACAUAAAAAUUACAAAAAAUGAAUUAAGAAAUCAUAUCAUGCAUGAGUAGCUAAGAAUGUCCAAAAGCUUAAAGAAAACUCCCAUGAAGCAUUCGGUUCCAAAAUAGAAGAAAAAUGAUGCUUAUGUUUCUUUAUUUGUUUCUUUAUCUUUUAAUAAUAUUAUAACAUAUAAAACACAUAAAAUAUUAAAAAAAAUUUAAAGCUUUAACCGUCCACCAACUUAAGAAUGGGUAAUUUAUCCAUUAAGGCCAUCCAAUUAUGUUUCUUUAAUCAAUUAACACCUUUAAACUAAUAGCGAUUGACUUUUUCAACUAUUAUGAUUUAGUCCUUUUUGCUUAAUUAACUAUCUAAACAUUAAAAUUUCCUAACGAAACUUUAAUACAACCUUAAUAACACUUCGUAAAUAUUUAUAAAAAUAUUUACGGUUCGGUUUAUAGAAACGAGGUCCCAAUACCUCAUUUUCUAAAACCACUUGACUUUAGGGCAUACCACUUGAACCUAAUUGUUCUUCUAUUUAACUCAAAUAAUUAAAUAAAAUUUUAUCAAUACAUAUAUUAUUCAUAAAUAUUAAAUAAUAAUAUUUAUGGACUCACACGUCGGAUUUGUGGCCCCGAAACCACUGUUCUGACACCACAAAGAAAUGGGUUGUUACAACUAUUCUUUUAGAGUUCGCCAUGAAGGUUAUUCUUUUUUAGUUCGCCACAAAGGUUAUUCUUUCAUGUCAUGUUUACGAUAUGGAUUUGCCUAAAUUCACGAUGCGUGAGGUUUGCCCAUCAUCAUCUUGGGAUACGUAGAAAACUCCGUUAGGUAAUCACCAUCCUUUAGUUCCUUUUAGAGGUUGUCAUGAUCAUGGCUUAAUAUACAUCUAAAGUUAUCAAUCCAGGCUAAACCUUUAAAAUGAUAACAGAUUACCAAUCCAGGCUGAAUCUGUGUCACAUGUAUCUUCGAGUUCACAACAAAUGCUGGAGCUCGAUUAUGAAAUAAACUCAUUUUACAAACAUUUCAUGCACUGAAACAAACUAAGCACAAUUCACUGUUAACAACCAACAUACUACACAUCUCAUAACAUAAAAUCUAGACAUUUAGAUGCAACCAUACGUCACAUCACAUUACUCAUACUUGUACUCACCAGAUUCUAUAUCAAAUAUACAUACUAUCCUCAACAAACAUUCACACAAUCAUAGAUAUCCUUUAAUAAUCCCUCAUAUAGCCACAUACAAACCAUACUAAAACUUUCAAGAUCUCAACAUCACCUUUCAACCAAUUCCCUAUAGAUCUUCUGAUAUGAACAGUACACCUGCAAAAUUCAUCAUAGAGAUUCACUCGAUUCUCACCUACAGCGGUUCAAAACUCUAGAUCUAGACUUUCAUCAUGCAAUCAACAGAAACUACUGAUUUACAUAUUCUACCAUCCUGGGUGGCCUGACAAUGAUGGUUUUCACUAUUUACAUAUUCUACCAUUCCGGGUGGCCUGACAACGAUGAUUUUCAAUAACUAUAUUGAGGACUCCAUGGCAUGCUAACUAAACUAGACUCUACCCUAAAAAGUUAAUCGGGUAAUUACUAAAUCAAUACACAUAAUAAUCACACAUCAUAGUUUAUAUCAAGUUUUUUUAUGCUAUAUUCAAUUUAAUCUAAUUUUGGACAUUUAAUGCCAUCAUUUAUAAAUCGAGUAAAGAAGCAACCAUACAUUUACCUCAAUAGAUAGAUUUGAAACAAUCACAUAUAUGUAUAUAUGCAUGUGUCUAUGUAUUUAUGUAUUGAAAUUAAACUAUAAAAGUACAAAUCAAAGCUUUUGUAACUCGUCUACGACACUAGCUUUUCUUUUAUGUAGAGACGGCCCAGCGUCGUAUUUAGCUAUGUUUGAUAAUUCAAUCAUAAAGCAAUGUCAAUUUCCAUCCAAUUCACAUUCAAAUACAUAGUCAAAAAUAUUUUUCAUUUUAUUCAAUUUAUUCCCUAUAUUCGACAGACUCGUAUUUUUCAAUAUCUAACAUCGGAUCAAAAUUUAAUUUCACAUUAUUUUAUUAGGGACUCUAUACUUUUAAUAUACAACAUAAUCUCAUGAAAAUUUUCAAUUUGUUCAAUUUAGUCUUUAAUAUUAGAAAAUUAUCUAACAAGCUUAACUCAGAUUCCAAUUUAGUCCUUAACAUAAUCUAAGUUCACUAUCUUGUGAUCUCUUCAAUUUCAAGCUUAAUUCAUCAAUUUUUUCUAAUGGCAACUUGUCAAACAUCUAAUAAUUUACUAAAUUAACACAUGGGCUAGCUAAAUCAAGCUCCCAUUAUCAAGAAUCUAUAAAAAAAAUUGAAGAAAAUGACUUGAUUACCUUAGUUAAUUUGGGACAAAAAUGAAUAUGAAGGCUUGGAGAAAUUUCUUCUUUCUUUUUAACUUAGGACGGAAAAGUAAGAUGGAAAAGAUGAAAGUGCUUUCAGCUUCCUUAACUUGUUUAAUUAUGAUUAGUUUACAAAACUAAUAUAUAUUUAUCCAUAAUUGUAAUUAUAGAAACUAAGUGGAUGUCAUAAUCAAUUCCCACAAUUACAUAAGAAAUAAUGGUUUAAUAACCAUUUUGGUCCUUUGCAUAAUUACUAACUAGGUCCGCAAGUAUUUUAUAAAUUAAAAUUCAAUAGAAAUUAGAUUUUUACAAUUUAGUCCCUGAGUUUUAAUUAACGAUUUUCUCGAUUAAAUUAUUUAACUGGUAUUCAAUAUGUUUUCAUAAUAGCUCAAUAAAUAUUCUCAUUUUACCUUUAUGGACUCAAUUCACGGAAAUGCGGUUUCGAUUUUUUAACACCACUUAAAAUCAAGUCGUUAUAUUAAUAUUCUCAAGGACACCUUCAAUAUUUUGGUCAUCAACAUGAAGAACAAAGUUAAAAGAAAUUGAAGCAGGGUUUAAAGAUCUCAUUAUAAGUUCUUAUCAUAUCUAUUCUUUUUGAUACAAUGCUUAAAACUACCCAUAGCCCCUCUCUAACCCUUAAAUAGGAGGUUAAUGCACUUCAGCGUACUCAAAUCCACGUCCUCCUGCAUUGGCAACAUUGCCGAUACUAAUCGAGCUAAGACUCAAUCGACAACACUUCAUUAUUAGUAAACUUAAAAAGUUAUAUAUCCUUAAAAAAUAAAAUUUUUCUUUCAUUUAUAGAAAUUUCAAAUUAAGAUAUCUUAAAAUAUACUAUUUUAGAAUGUUAGUAUUUGUAAUUAUUUUUGUUUGAAUAAAUUCUUUUUAGAAAAAAAUUUAAAUUAUUAAAAUUUUAUGAGUUAAAAAAAGUAAAAGAAAAGUAAUUAUGUUAAAAAUAAAUAAUAUUGUUGAGGUUUUCUCUUGUUCUCCCUCUCUUUGGAGCAACUCGUUCAUAUUUAUAAGGCACGAUCUCUUGAUGUGACGUGUUAGUGUCGCAGGCUAAAGUUCAAAGCUCGUGACCAUGGUACAAGAUGUGCCUCAUGGAGGUCUAUCGAUUAGAUGGGGAACAUUUAGCCCACGAGAACUGGCCCGAUUCAAAGAACUGUUAGAGAAGCCUAUAAGAGUGAAGUCUUGUUGGCCCGAUAAUGAAGAUAUGACAACUUAGGUUAUUUUUAGUAAAUAGAGGAAUCAUAUCUUGUAGAUUUGAUUUGAUAUAAUCUAAUUUAAUAAAUCCCUAAAAUCAAGGGAUAGGUUAAUCUCGUCCGUCAAUGUAAUUUUAUCUUAACCGUCGUUUUAAGGAAGCUCAACUAUAAAUAGAGAGCCUGCCCCUCAUUUGUAUCUCAUCCAUUGUAUGUUGAAUUCUUAAGAGUAAUAGAAUUCUUUGAGCAUUUACUCAAACACUUUUUGUGCAUUCUUUCUUUGGCUUUCUAUUGUUCACCUGUACCUUCUUUUAGCACAAUCGCUUCCACUAUACAAAUUGGCGCCUUAGAGGAAUUCAAAAAGAAUCCUAACUUUUGGGAGUAAAGGCUGACUUAGAUGAGUUUGGAGCAAACAAAUCGCCUAAGGCCGCACGGAUUGCGAGACGAAAGAUCUAGCCCCAUAACAAGUGGUAUCCCAACUAUUGGUUCGAAGGCACCAUUGGGAUGUCGAAAAAAGUUGUUGAUCAGAAUGAGCCAAUGCAGACCCGUGGGAGGGCCAAAAAAGUAAAUUACUUUAGGGACAUGCUUACAGCUUUUGGAAAUCGAGUGGUUAAUCUCGAGGAUUCUGUAGGUAACAUGAAGGAGAUGCUUAAGUUGGUCGAUGACGCACAGAUGGGUUUGACUCAAUGGAGGAGAAACUCAGAGAUUUUGUGUUGGAUUCUCUCGGUGCCAAUACAGAAAAGAUGAAUGAAUUAGUCAAUUCCACUACGACAAAGCUGGCAGAGAGGGAUUAGAAUCUUGAGGAUAUGGUGUUAGCCAUGAAGAAGGAAAUAUAAGAGCUUAAGGGGGAGCUCACGAUUUACAAAGCUACUCUGAGUAAUGGGAUGUUGUCUUCAAGGCCGAAGCAACAAGCAAUGAAUGUUCCCAAACCGGAGAAGCUUAAGGGUGCAAGGUUCGUAAGGGAUGUGCACAACUUCUUGUGGGAAAUAGAGAAAUACUUCCAAGCCAUGGGUAUCAAGGAUGAUGCCAUUAAGGUAAACACUGCUUCAAUCUAUUUUACUGAUGUGGCUCUCUUGUGGUGGUGUUGUAGGUCCAUAGGAUGAGAAACAUGGUGGGAACACAAUUGGGACUUGAGAGGAGUUCCAAAGAGAGUUGAAGAAGCAGUUUUACCCAAAGUAUGCCGAGAAGGAGGCUCAGGCUAAAUUGCAUUGUCUCACGCAACAAGUCACUGUUCGGGAGUAUGUUUGGGCAUUUAGCGAGUUGAUGCUUCAAAUCUCUGACUUGAGUGAGACAGAAGCAUUCUAUUGGUUCGAGGAUGGGUUAAAGUUGUGGGCAAAACAUGAGUUGCGUAGGUAAGAAAUCAUAGAACUUACUGUAGUCGUGGCGGAAACAGAGUCCUUUGUUGAGCUUGGUCCAACAAAAGACAAGUUUGAGUCGUCUAAGCCUAAUGGAAAGGGCAAUGGUGAGAGAAACCAUGAGGAAGAUGAAGAGGGACAUAGCGAUGAUGACAACAGUACCGAUAGCACAAGUGGCAACGGGAAACCACAAGAUACGAAGUGGGGAUCCAACAACUCAAGGGACAAGGGAAAGAGGAUAAAACGCUUCAUUUGUCAAAGACCACACAUGGCGCGAAAAUGUCUGAAGAAAUUGAUGAUUUAGGCGAUCAAAAAGAAAGAUGAGCUGAAGGAAGAGGCGAAGCCUAUUGAGGGAAAUACGUCGAGGGUCAAUUCGAUGGUGCUCAUUCCUAAGAAAAGGAAUGGUGAAGAAGGGUUGAUAUUUGUGGACAUCAAUAUUGCGGGUCAGAAGCGAACUGCUCUUAUUGAUAUAGGAGCAUUGAAUUUGUUCAUAUCAGGAAAAGUUGCGAAAAAGCUUGGUCUGUCGAUUAAAAAAUCGACAAGAAGAUCAAGACAGUAAAUUUUGAGGAGGCUCCAAUUGUAGAGUAGUUUGUAAUGUAGAGCUGCAAAUCGGUGAAUGGAAAGACAAUGAAGACUUUAAGGCAAUCCAAUUGGAUUAUUACAAUUAUGUACUUGGUUUAAACUUCCUUGACAGGAUUCAGACAGUUAUAUUUCCAUGGGCUAAUGAAAUUCAUAUUGUCAUUGGUCCAUUAUCAAAGAUUGUUGUGUCAGUGCAUCACGAUAUGAAGGUUGGGACCAAUGUGUUGUCGUCAAUCCAACUAGUCGAAGAUGUUUCGUAUGGGAGAAACAUUAACGCGAUAGAACGGAAUGUUACAAAAGCCCCUUCAAAAAAGUUAAUGGAACAUGGACCGAUAUGAGACCUGUGGAGUCGACUGUGGAGCCGUCACCUUGGGAAGGUGGAUUGUGUACCAAACUUUGAGGGGAAAGAAGUAAUGCAAAAGCAGUCAAAACGAGUAAAUGCUGUGAGUAAGGUACAUUGCAAACGCUUUGAUAGUGUUUUGAAUUCUGACUUGUUGGCUUGGCAAGGUCGUAAGGGCCCUUUCAAAGUUCUUAAGUAAGGAGGCCGAGGGACUGUCGGUGGUACGAAGCCAAGAUGUGAGAAUCCAGGGGAUUAUAAUAGGACCAAGUCAAAAUUGGGGCAUGUUAAAGCGGAGACUUCUUGGCAACGGGAUGUACAACAAGUGCAACGGUUCAAGUUAAAAGGCGACGGAAGCCAAGGCAAAGGUUCCGAAGGAAAGGGCAAAUAAAUCGCAAGACAAGUCGGGAAUAAGCUAAGGCAACGAGAAAGUUCCAAGGUGAAUUAAGUCAGUGUCAUUCAGAAGUUGCAACGAAGGCAUUGCGAGAAUAGGUGGGGAAGAAUGUCACGGGCCAAAGUGCAAAGCUCGUGACCAUGCAUAAGAUGUACCCCAUGGAGGUCUACUGAUUAGAUGGGGAACAUUUAGCCCACGAGAACUGGCUCGAUUCAAAAAACUGUUGGAGAAGCCUGUCAGAUUGAAGCCUGGUUGGCCAGAUAAUGAAGAUAUGGCAACUUAGGCUAUUUUUAGUAAGUAGUGGAAUCAUAUCUUGUAGAUUUAAUUUGAUAUGAUGUAAUCUUGUAAAUCUCUAAAAUCAAGAGAUAGGCUAAUCUCAUCCGUCGAUGUAAUUUGAUCUUGACCGUCAGUUUUGGGGAAGCUCAACUAUAAAUAAAGAGCUUCCCCCUCAUUUGAAUCUCAUCCUUUGUAUGUUGAAUUCUUAAGAGUAAUAGAAUUCUUUAAGCAUUUACUCAAACACUUUGUGUGUAUUCUUUCUUUGGCUCUCUAUUGUUCAUCUGUAGCUUCUUUUGGCACAAUCGCUUCCGCUAUACAAAUUGGUGCCUUAGAGGAAUUCAAAAGGAAUCCUCACUUUUGGAAGUAAAGGCUGACUUAGGUGAGUUUGGAGCUAAUGAAUCACCUAAGGCUGCACGGAUUGCGAGACGAAAGAUCUAGCCCCGUGACAUUAGGGGACCAUUAGGUGCCAAGAGCAUGAAACAUUCACCCCUAGCUCGACACGUAAUCUGAAACGUGUCUCUCCCCACGAGGUGGUGAGAUGAUCACUAUAACACCCUUAACUCAUCUCCAUCACUGAAUUAGGGUUACAUUAUAUUACGAUAGUUAACAAGUCCGAUAAUAUCUUAAAACAAUUCAAAAAUCAAUUUAAACAUUAUAGAUCAAUAUUCAAUCAUUAUUCACAGCAUAUAAGCAUAAAUGAAACUUAAAUCGGGCCUACGAAACCUAAAAAUCAGUUUAGAAACAAGUCAUUUACAUAUACAUUUCGUUUAAAUUAUUAUUCACAGCAUAUAAGAGUAAACGGAACUUAAAUAACAUCUUUUAGCUAUGGUCUUAUUCAUUUGAAUCAUGAUUAACCUGCUCAUAUCCAUUUCAUAUUAUAUGCCAUUCAAUUCACACAUACUCAUUUACUAUGCUUCACAAAUCAAUCUAAGAUUUCCAAUUUUAUGACUUACCUCAAUCAUGAUAACUAUAGUAUAUAUAAACAAACACACAUAUAAUUGAAUUCAAAUCAUUAAAAAUAUAAUAAACCUAAUACGAACUUACCUAAACCAAUUCUGCAGAAAAAACAACCCUAACAUCUAAUCAUCAAUUUUUCCUUUCCCGCGUUUGUCAAUCGACUAAUACAUUUCUUGAUGUAAAUAUAUUAAUUUUAUUCAACUAAUCGAUUCAAAUAUCAUAAAAUACUUAAAUUCACAUAUUUGACUCUUUAUCAACAUUUUACCUUUUAUUCAAUUUAGUUUCUAAACCCAAAACUUUUAAAUUGAACAUAUUUAAUCCCAAACCAUACUAGAAUAAUUUCAUAUAGUCCUUUUACAUCCCAUAUUUAGCACAUUUUCACAAGAAUUUCAUACAAUUUUACUAUUUUAACAACAAAAUCCCUAAAUACAAAAUUAACAAAAUUUACUUAAUCAAAUAAUCCUUAAACAUUUCAUAGCUUCCAAAUCCAACAAUUUCUAUCAAAAACACCUGAGAUUCAUCAAUGGGAAGUUUUAAAAUCUUUAACAAUUUUAAAAUCGGUGAUAUGGGUUAGCUGAAUCUAGUUGCAACGAUCUCAAAAAUAUAAAAAUACUAAAAGAAGAGCUUGAAUUUCAUACCAUGCAAGGAGAUUUAAAGCUUGGUUGAUUCUUCCUUCAAGCUUCAAUGGUGGUUUCAGUUAAAGAAAAAUAAAAUGAAGAAGAUGAUGACUAAUUACCUUUUGUUUUUUUAAUCUUUUAAUAAUAUUAUAACAUAUAAUUCUUUUGAAUUAAAACAUUUUAAACAAAAAAAAUUUUUCGCCCAUUAACCGUCCACACUAACUAAAAUAAGUUCUAAUUGCAUUUUAAAACCUUCAUUUAAUACUUUUAUAACCAUUUAAUACAAAUAAACUUAUAGCGAUUAACUUUUACAGUAUUUACGAUUUGGUCCAUUUUACUAAAUUAAUUAUCUAAACAUUAAAAUUUUUGGACCAAACUUUAAUACACCUAUAUAACCACUCCGUAAAUAUUUAAUAUAAAUAUUUACAAGCUCGGUUAAUAGAAACGAGGUCCCGAUAUUUCGUUUUCCAAAAUCACUUGACUUUAAGGACAAACCACUUGAACUAGACUAUUCAUUCAAAUAACAAAAAUUAUCAAAUUAAAAUUUGUUAUAAUAUUAUAUUUGACUCAUAAAUAUUAAGUAAUAAUAUUUAUGGGCUCACUCAUCGGAUUUGUGGCCUCUAAACCACUGUUUUCAACACCACUGAAAAAUGGAUUGUUACAAUCACACUUUGCGUGAUGUUUGUGAUGGGUGGCUUGUGACCUUGCAAGGUUGUAAGGCAAGAUGACGACGACGAAAUGAUUAAAUGGUAAAGCCUUGGUGAGGACAUCUUCACAAGAUGGUGAGGCACUUCGAUGGCCUAAGAGUUAGGCUCAUGAGAUAGUGCGAGGUGGCAAAGAUUACCUUGCGAAGUAAGAAGGCAAUGGCUGGCUUGCGAGGGCUCGUGAAGUGGCAACAGACAUGAAAUGGGCCUCGCGAAGUGAUGAUGGACUUGUGAGAUGGCAAGGCACCGUAGCUGGCUUGCGAGAUGGGUCAAGCUUCUCAUUUCAUAUGGUCGAGUUGAAUUUUAAGUUUCUCAAAUAUUCUAUAACAAAUAUAUAUAUAUAUAUAUAUAAAAGCAAUGCAAAAAUCAUUGUAUUCAUGAAAAUAUAUAAGUUUUUAAAUAAUAUAAAUAAAUAUUUUGAAGUUUAACCUUUUUUUAUUUUGUGGUAAGCCAUAUAAAUGAAUUAAAAUUUAAAAAAAAUUGAAAAAUAGGACCUUUUGAAAUUUUUUAGUAUUUUUAUUCAAAUAAGUUAAUUUAUUUUUGGAAAAUUUAAAACCUUAAUAAAAUGAAAUCUCUUGUCUGAAUUUCUCUUCUAAAGAGAAUUUCUUUCUUUUUAAAGUUUUUUUAUGGUGUUAUAAUUUAUUUGGCCUCUAACUUUAUGAAAAAAAAAAUAUUGUAGAAAAAAAUUUAUUGUAGCCAUUCAUUUAAAAUUUCACAUUUUUUAGUUCUUAAACUUGUGUAUUUGUCAAAUUACUCCAAUAUGGAUGAAAAAGUUAACAUUUUUCAACUUUAUUGAUGUGACAAAAUGGAUUGUCAUGUGGAUAACAUAUAAAUAUUUAAUUGACUUAUUAAAAUUUUUAAAAAUUAAAAACAUUAUUUUUUAAAAUUAAAAUCAUUAAAAUUAUUUAAAAAGUAUAAAAAAUUUAAUUUUUUAGAAAAGUAAUUAAAUGCUGACAUUUCGUACAUGUGGCAAUUCACAUGUAUGCCACAUCAACAAAGUUGGCAAAAGUUAACUUUUCUAUCCAUUUUGAGGUUAAUUUGACAAAAAAUGCAAGUUCAACAAAAUAAACUCUUUUGUAAAGUUGGAAGACAAAAAAGACAUUAUACAUUUUUUUUAAUGAUGAAGUGUGAACACUUAUUAACUAUCAUGAUAUUUAUACUUUAUUUAAAUUCUUAAUUGUGUUACUAUCACGAGCUAAUUAGACACCAACUCAAUUGAAAACUAACCAAAAAAAUCCUUUAAAAGUAACAAAUAUUAUUAUUAAAUUAUUUUCAUUUUUAUAUAAAACCUUAUAAAAACAAUUGAAACCUAUAAUAAAUAUGUCAAUGAUGGACUUCAACCUAGAAUAUUAAGAUCUUCAAUGUUUCAAUUUUGCUAUUCCAACCAAUAAUUAAUUUAGUCUUUAUAUAAUUUUUUUAAAUAUAUUUAUAUAAUAUUUUUCAGGUUAAUAUAAUUUAAUAGAACUAUAUUUAUGAUGUAGAUAUGCAUCAAAUAUAAAUUUUAUCAAAGUGGAAGUUUCCUCGUAAACACGUCGCACCAGGCUAUGGUAGAAAAGUCCAAUAACUUAGAUCACAUAGACCCCUAGUCAAUACGAUAUGGAAAACAUUACCCUAUAAAUAUCUCCACUGCCUCAAUCCCUCUGCUCACAUCAAACUUCCCUCUCAUCCUUUGAAAAUGGAGUCCUUAACUAUGGGAAAAAAGCUACUAACAUCUGUUCUCGUAGAACUUGUAGUUGCUUCCGCUAUAACCCAAACCGUGUUGGCUCAAAACUGUGGCUGUGCGCCAAACUUGUGUUGCAGUCAACAUGGUUAUUGCGGUCAGGGUAACGAUUACUGUGGCACUGGUUGAAAAGAAGGCCCUGGCUUCUCCAAGUCUCCCACUGGUGCUUCAGUUGCCUCCAUUGUUUCACCUCAGUUCUUCAACGGGAUAAUCAACCAAGCUCGUGCAGAUUGUGCAGGCAAGAAAUUCUAUACACGACAAGCUUUCCUGACUGCACUUGAUUCCUUUCCCGAUUUCGGAAAAUUGGGUUCUGAUGUUGAAUCCAAGCGUGAGAUUGCAGCUUUCUUUGCCCAUGCCACCCAUGAGAAUGAAUGUAAAGCUCUUUUUCCUUUGAACUAAACCACAGAUUCAAAGCCAAUUAUAUAGUCCUAAAUCUGCUGUAUUUGUAUAUAUUCUUAUUUUUGCAGUCUUUUGCCAUACAGAAGAACAGGAUAAAAGUGAUAGCCACUGUGACACCACCAAGCCAGAGUUCCCAUGUGCACCAGGGAAGUCCUACUAUGGUCGAGGACCGCUCCAGCUUUCGUGGAAUUAUAACUACGGGAAAGCAGGGAAAGCAAUUUGACGCUGGACUUAUUGAAAAAUCCUGAAAUGGUGGCCAAUGAUCCUGUUGUCUCAUUUAAGGGUUCAUUAUGGUACUGGAUGGCCGCUGUCCGCCCCGUCAUCGGCCGAGGGUUCGGAGAAACCAUCAAAGCCAUCAAUGGCAGGGUUGAAUGUGGUGUUACAGCUGCAAAAGACAGAGCUCAGCAUCGAAUUCAGUUUUACAAAUAUUAUUGUAAACGAUUUGGGGUUCAUCCUGGACCCAGUCUGUCUUGUUAGAGUUUCAGCGGUGUUUGCAGCUGUUUUUCUAGCAGUAUAAUACGAACAAGUAGGGGCUUGAAGGCUACUGAUGCUGUUGAGUAGCUUUUGAUAAUUGAUUGUCCCAGAAUGAAGUUACCGCAAGGUCUCUUUUAAGAGACCUGCUAUAAAAUAAAAUAAAGGGAAAUAUGCAAUUGCCCUGCUUUUAAGUUGGUAAGUGGUUUAGUUAAAGUAAGGUGGAUCAUCAUUUUUCUUACUCCCUCAUCAUUUUUAGUGGUCUCUCAUAAGCCUUGCCAUUAAAAUUUCUAGUAUUUUCUCGUAAUUUUUGGAAUGUUAUUAAAAUUUCUAGAAUCAAAUUUUGAUUUCAAACAAAUAUUUCGCAUACUAAUAACAUUUAAAAUAAAAAUAAUAAUAAAGCAAAAUUUAUAAGACGAACUAAUAUUUAAUAGUCUCUUAUAAUUUUUGGUACUCAUAUCAUAUUUUUUUAUAUUCCCUCAUGUUUUUUAGUAUUCCAAGGAAAAACAUAAAAUAUAUAUAUAUAUAUAUAUAUAUAUAUCAAAUUUGGUUCUUCUUACUAAAUUUGUUUCAUUUAUAAAAAAUUAUCAUCAAAUAUUUUUUUCCCUUACAAAAUUUAGCAUGAAAAAUUAUAAUUUAAAAGUUAUUAAUUUUUUUCGUUACAUAAUCCUAUUUAAAUUUCUUAAUAUUUAAAAUUAAUAUUUUAUACUCCAAAAUUAUAUCUCAUACCAAAUCAUCAUCUAAAAAACAUAUAAAAAAAUUUAGGAUAAAUUUAAAAAAAUAUGAAGAAAUACCAAAAAUUUUGAGAGAAUACCAAAAAAUAAAAGAAAGUACAAAAGAACAUGAGGAGCCACAAAAAUUUAUGAGGUAAUACUAGAAAAUUUGAGAAAGUACCAAAAAAAACUUGAACAAUCAAAAAAAAAAAGACCAAAAAAGUAUAAAAAAUUAUGAAGAAAUAUCAUGAGCAAUCACAAAAAACCAUGAGGAAGUACAAAAAGAAAUAUAAGGAAGCACCAAAAAAUCUAUGUAUAAAAAAAUUAAGUGAGAACAUCAAAAAAAAUCUGAAGAAGUAUAAAAAAUUAUGAGGGAACACCAAAAAGAUUUUGAGGAAGUACCAUUAUGAGAUAAUACCAAAUAACACGAGGGGAUACUAAUUUUUUCUUUGUCUGCAUAACUUUUUUCGUUUAUUUAAUUUUUCGUAUUUUUUUUAAAAUUAUCAUGAAAUAAGAAUUUUUCAGUACCAUUUUUUAGUAUUAAAAAAUUAUAAUUUCACAGUUACAAUUUUUUUUCUUUACAACAUCUCAUUGAAAUUUUUUAAUAUUUAAAAAUAAUAUUUUUUAUUUACUUUAAAAUUAUAUAUUGUAUCAAACCUUCCGUUCCAAACAAUAUAAAAAUUUAUGAUAGAGUACAAAAAAAUACAAGGAAGUACCCAAAUUUAUAAGAAAGUACCAAAAUUUAUGAGCGAAUACAAAAAGAAUGAGGAAGUACCAAAAGUUAUGAGGAUGUAAAUAUAUGAGGAUGCACCAAAAAUUAUGAGGGAAUACAAAAAAUAUGAGGGGAUACUAAAAAAUAUUAGAAAGUACCAAAAAUUAUGAGAGAAUACCAUAAAACUUGAGGAAGUAUAAAAAAAAUGAGAAUGUACCGAUAAUUUGAGGACGUAAAAAUAUGAUGAUGUACAAAAAAUAUGAGAGAAUGCCAAAAAAACACGAGGGGAUAUUAAAAAUAUGAUGAAGUACUAAACAUUAUGAGAGAAUACCAUAAAACUUGAGGAAGUGCCAAAAAAAAUGAGAAAGUACAAAAAAUUAUGAGAGUGUAACACCCCAAUCCCAGCCUAGUCGUUAUGGUCGAAUCUGGUGGAGUUACAUCAACUCGUUUGAAAACUAAUUAAAAAUCCAGCUUAGAAAUCGUGUAAUCUAAAAUCUUAAUUUAGCUAAGCUCAUGCGCAGAACUUAUUCAUUUCACACAAAAAAAAAUCUUAAUUUGAUCACGUUUAAAAACUUUUGUUUUUAGUGAGUGUUUCGAAAAUAUAAGUGUGGCAAAACCUCUUACAUAUUUUACUUACAGUAAAAUCACCUAAUGAUUUAUUUAGUUUCGCAACAGAAAUUUCAGAGUUUUAAUUUUAAAAACCGAAUUCUAAUUUGGUAAAUUGUAUGAUUUUGCAUUUUCAUGUUAAAAUACCAAAAACUGGCGAUCAAGCAAAAACCAAAUCAAAGCCCAAAAACGAAUUAUAAUCCUAAAAGUCCAAGAAUAUUACUAAUGUAGAUCUCCAUAUUUAAUUAACUGAGAAAAAAAUCCGAGCUCCCACACGCUGUUCGGUCCUUAGUCGGAAGAUUACCUAAAACGUAUUAAACAAACGAGUGAGCUAGAAGCCUAGUGUGACACUCGAUCCACAAACAGAAUUUUUACUUAUAACAUACACAAAUAUAAAUACUAGUACAAAAUUUUACUUAUAUUGUACACAUUACCAGAAAAAUAUGUCAAAUCAAAAUGUCAUAUUUCCAGAAACAUAUACUAGAUUAAAAUGUCAUAUUUUCAGAAACAUAUACCAUAGCAAAAUGUCAUAACAUAUCAGAACAAAUCUUACACCCAUCCGUUACACGCCAUUUACGUUCAACUAAUCACACCAAAUAGGACUACAAGAGUCCAUCCAUCAAAACAACCAGGUUGUGGUAGUAUGCCACUAAUAAUGGUGCAGUUGAGCUGCCAACUAGAUAUUGUGGUUUAACAGUCAAAAUUGCAAGUAAAACUGCCAGAAAACACUUCCUCUAUCAUAUCAAAACCCACCAUAAUGCACAUGCACAAUCAUAAUAACAUACGUACAUAUCAAAUGAAUGCUAUGACAUGCAUACCUAAACAUAUUUUUUUUUACAUAUCAUACAUAUCAAAUUGCUUAUACUAAAAAUUAUUCUACAUACAGAUGUCAUACUUGUUUUUACACGUAAUUGUGCUUUCAAAGUUAUUAGAACACAGAUCGUACAUAAGUUUUUCACUUACCUUAAUCAUAUAACAUACUGACAGAUAUCACAUUUCGAGUCUUGUUUAAGCCAAACAGACCCCACAGAAGGUCUAAUUACGCAUUUCUAAGUCAAAUGAGCCUAAGUGAAAAUUUCUGAAAAAUUGGUCCACGCGACCUACCUGACCUGGCCAUGUGAUCACACACGUCCGUAUGUCCCAUACGGCCUACCAAAGUCACCCAUGCAAUCACACAUGCCCGUGCUCCACAUGGCCCGGUACAUGACCAACCAUACACUCGUGUGAUGCACACAACCUAACACACGCACACGCUUGUGUUCCACAUGGCCUGUACACGACUAACCACACACCCGUGUGAUGCACACAACCUAACACAUGACCAGCCACACGGUCGUGCGACGUAAAGCGUGUAACACCCCUAACCCGUAUCCAUCGCCGGAAUAGGGUUACAGAGUAUUACCGUAAAAACGCAACUUAAAACAUUCAUUUUCAAACAUUUCAUAAAUCAAAUCAUAGUCCAUUCAAACACAUGUAUAUCGUCCCUUAUUUGAGCCCUCGAGGCCUUACAAACACUUUAGAAAUGAUUCGGGACUAAAUCGGGAACAUUUAAAACUUAAUGGAAAAAAAUGAAAAAAUUCACACUGCAGGGGUCAUACAGUCGUAUGGCUAGGCCGUAUGACUCACAUGGCUGAGACACACGACCGUGUCUCAAGUUGUGUAGGCAUCCGAAGUAGGGACACACGGUCGUGUCCCAACCCGUGUCCGUGCCCGUGUAACUCUCUGACUUGGGUCAUACGGCCAAGCCACACGUCCGUGUGCUAAGCCGUGUAACUCUUGAAAUGCAACCUUUAAAACUUACAGGGGACACAUGGCCGUGUCGCAUGGCCAUGUGUCAUACACGGCUGAGACAUACGCCCAUGUCUUAGGCCAUGUGGACAAGAAAUAGACCAUUUUCAAGCCAUUUCUUUCACCCAAAAUAUGCUCAUACAUACAAGCCAUUUGCACAUGUUUCAAGUAUUCAAAAAUGUACCUAAAAUAUGCAUAAUACAAAUAGAUCAAUAUAGUAUUUAUCCAUACAACCAAUAUGCCCAAAAAGCACCUCAGAAGCAAGCACUCAACUUAACAACACAUAUGCAUAAUUGAUCACCUUGCUACCAUUUUAACACAUACCAUACUUAACUUAUACCUUGUCACUAGAAGUUAUCAUUUGAACCAUUGUUUUCAUGCAUCCCAAAUACACAUAUAUCUAACUUAUAUAUAUUUGACCAUUUUUCAUCCAUAUAUAUUUAGCUUAAUUCCAUACUAAGUUAUACCAUAAUUGACCACAAGCCAAAUUCACAAUCAAACAUACCAAAUGGGUCAUAAUUCAACCAAUUAUACUUGACUAAAUUUCGUAUCAAAUCAUACCUUAAAUGAUCAUUUUGCAAACAUACCAACAGUUACCACUUUGGCCAUAAAACCAUGCGUCAAUUUGAUCAUAUAAACACCAACCAUUAAGCAUCAAAGUAACAUAAGUUCCACAAAUUCAAAGUAACAUUACAUGCCAAUAUCAUUAUCUAAACAUUAAACAUAGUCCACCUAUACAUGCCAUUAUAACCACGACCCACGUAUCGAAAUCUACCGAUAAAAUCGAUGGAUAGUCUGAUGGAUCUCCAACUAGCUUUCAACUCAAUCGAGCUUCUGAUAAUAUGUAAAGUAAAGGAAAAUAACUACGUAAACAGUGUAUGCUUAGUAAGCUUGUAUAAAUUUUAAACAUAAUAUUUCAUUUCAAUAAUAAACUUUAUAGAAUAAACAUAAAUCUAUGCUAAUGCCAUAAGAUUCAUAAACCGAUAUGAUCAUCAACUUACAAAUGAGUAAGUUCAUUAAUGUCAGAUAUAUUUAUCAUUUAUAACAUGAUAGGAUUUUAUGGGACUUAGUAGAUAAUCAUCAACCUUUCUAUAAGGUUAUACACUUUCCAAUUUACUCUUUUUUCAUUCUGUUCCCAAUGCUUAUCAUAAGCCUAAACAACAUUAUCAAUUCCCAACUUAGUGUAUUUAUCUAUACUAUAAGUAUAUACAUCCAUAGCAUAUGUAAAUCUCUCACAUAUAAUACCAAACUCAUUACCUCUUUUCCUCAAAUUUUAUUUUAACUAUGAAUUUACCAUUUCAUUAUCUUUCCUCACCCAUUUCAUAUGUAUAACACACAAGUUAGUGCAUUUAAACAUAGCUCUUUUAGAAUCAACUACAUAAUCAACCAUUGCAUAAGAAAUUACAUACUUAAAUUUCUUCCACCUUUUCAUGGACAUAAGCACAUUACCAAUUGAGCACUUACCAUUUCAAUGUAUUUCAUUAAGAUUAAACAUGAUGUAAUUCAAUCACAAACUUGGCACAAGCCUAAACACUAAAAAACACAUAUGUUAGAAUAAUUGAAUAUAAUUCAUAUGAACUUAACAUAAAUAACCAUUAUACUUGAGCAUGAUCCAAUUGGAUUUAUCAUCCUUCCUAACAUAUCAUGUUUUCUGAUACGAACUCGCUUACGGGAUGUAAUUGAGUAGUUUGAUUGCCCGAUAAAAAAUUAAGUAGUUCUCAUUUUAGUUUUAACAAAAGAUAAAUUUUAAGAAGAUAGUUUAAGUAAAGUAGCGGAAUAUAUAAAGAUAAUUUGAUGGAGGAUGGAUAGAUGAGCUUAAAACAAGAAAGAACCCUUAAUAGCGAUUAAGGACCCAAUUCUUAUACUUUUUAAGGUGAAAAGAUGGAUAGCUGGAUAGGACUGUGACUCACUAUCUAGCAAGAUAGGAACCAAUGGUAUAAGUUUGAACCCUACACUCCAAAGAGUGAUAAGUUCAGAAAAGAAUCAAGGUUGACACCACUAGUUUAGCUAGAUAAGUCAAGUUGAAUCCUCAAGAAAAACGAGAGUGAAUAACUCACAAAGUUAUAUUUCAUAUAUGUCAAAAGUUCAAAAGUUAACCUUCAAAAGGUUUACAAUUGUGCUAUUUAUAAGCUAAUAGACAACCAGCUGAAUGGACAUGAAUUAAAUAAAGCUAAAGUGAUUUAAUUUCCAGCUGAAUUAAUUCAAUGAAUUUAACUAAGUAAGAUGUCGAAACAGCCUUGGUUCAUGGUGUUGAUGAGUGAGCUGAAUGAAGCUGGAUUAGGUGAAUGGAAGUAAUAUUUAAAAGGUGCACCGAAUGAGAAGUAGCUGAUGAAUGUGCUUGCUAGUAGCCGAAUAGUCUUAGAGGUGUGAACACUCGGGUUUGUGAAUGUGAACAGCAAGAAAAAAUGAACACUUGAAAAGGUAGCUGGUCAGCUCAUAAUCUUUGGCAAAGGUUCUUAAAUGUUUCGGCUGGAGAAAAUACACCUAGCAGCUCAAGGUACAUACACAAUCGGGUGCAUGAAUUCUUCCUUAAAUAAGCUAUAAUGUAUCGGCUAGAUACAUGCAUAUUCAGCUGAAUAACGGUGUCUUCCGUUCAUGCAUAGAUGAAUGCAUGCUUCCACAUUAACUAGCUUCAAUGAACCUGGAAGAUACAUGUAUGUUCAGCUAAUAAUCAGCUCCCAACGUUCAUGCAUUUUCAGGUACAUGCGCCACAUUGAAUGAGCUUCAUUGAAUCGACAUUGUGUAUGUAUUACCCAGUCGAAUACUUUAAUUCCUAUUAAAAAAAUUAAAGACAACUUUUAAAAUAAAUUAAACACACAAUAAAAAUGUAUUGGACUAAGACACAUUUAAUUGAUGUAAUUCAAGCUGUAGUAAACUCAAACAUAAUUGAAUGAGCUCAAAUAAUUAAGAUGUCCAAAGUCUAGCUAGCUAGGUGAGCUAGCUAAUUUGAAUUCAGCUUCCAUCAAGUUGAGAAUGAUUCUUGUUGGUUCGUCCAGCUCCUUUGGAGCUUUCUCCCAAGCAUGCUCAACUAAAGCCGAUAAAGACUCUUUAAAAUGUUUAGCUCGAGCUCGAGUAAUUGGUCCAAUGGGGAGCUCGAGGGAAUUUCGUUUGGUGUUAGCUAGGUCCGCAGGUUGGUUCACAUCAUUUCUCAUGUAUCACCAUUUCAAUAAGUUUCAUACUCGCAUGUCAUGGUUCAUAUUAAACACUUAUCAUAGCCACGAGCUAGUGAUUAAAUACAUAACUUAGCAAUAUCAUCACAAGGUAAGAUAUGGUACAUAAACAUAGCAUCAUUUAAAUUGUACCUUUCAUAAUCAUGAAUAUUUAUACUUUGAUCAUUGGUACAUCAUACCUUUCCAAAUUUGUCAUAGUGAAGGCAAUCAGAACCUUUACUUCGGCUCACAUAAAGUGUGCUAAACGAUGGUUGAAAUCAUCCAUUUUCUAUAAUCAAUGGUUGUCACCAUCUCUUUUCAUAUUCAAUGAAUAUUGUAAAGACGAUUGAAACCCUGGUACACGUUUCCUAUUGUGUCAUAGUCCAACUAUGGUCUUACAUAUGCAUUGCCAUGGCCCUACCAUGGUCUUACAUUCAUAGUUCCAUAACCCAGUUAUGGUCUUGUCAUUAGAAUGCCAUAGCCUAGCUAUGGUCUUACAUAUAAACACUACCACAGUCCAACUAUGGCCUUACAUCCAUAAUGCCAUAACCCAAUUAUGGUCUUAUCAUCAGAAUGCCAUAGCGAGCUAUGGUCUUACGUGCAAAUGCAUCAUGUCUCUAUUGAUAUUAAAAAUUAUCAUUUUCGUAACUUUUCACAAUUCAUGUUCUAUCAACAAAUCAAUUUAAUUUAAGUGAUUUUACAUCAUUUAAGCUCUAACAUUCAUAAACAAUUAGAAAUAUAACUAAAUUCAUAUUAAUUGAACUUACAGGACUAAUUUGCAGUAAUGGCUCAGAGUAUCUCAAUUAGUGAUCGACGUAAUAUCAAUUCAUUAUUUUUGUUUUCAAUUACACACAUCAAUAUAGUCUAAUAUAAUGCAAUUAUGUUCAUAUAUUUCAUUUAAAAAUGUACUAAAAUUAAACCAAACGAACUUACCUAGCUAAAUUGUAGAAAUGACAAAGUAUAAGGGCAUUUUGAUAAUUUUUUUAUUCUCCUCGAUUUUCCACUCGAUAUUGAUCUAAAUUAGUAAUUUCAUUCAAUCUAUUAAUUUAGACAGUAAAACAAUACAUUUUAUACAAUCUAGUCAUUUUUCACAUUUUUACAAAAUUGCCCAUAAUAUUUUAUUUUUAUUGAAGUUAGUCUAUAAGCCUAAAACAUGCAAAUAAACAAUUUUUAAUGUCAAUUCACAUCAGAUGAAUAUUCAUGGCACACAAAACAGCCCACAUUUGUAAUAAUUUCACAUCAAAUCCUUGUAUUUUUACUAUUUUAACAAUUUAGUCCCUAAUUGGAAAAUUCAUCAAAAUUACUUAACCAACAUCUCAAAUUCAUCAUUUAAUAACUAAAAUCAUAUAGAUUCAUCAAUGACAACAUUCACAAUCUUUAACAGUUUCAAAAUCGAAGGUACGAGCUAGCUGGACCUAAUUGCAACGAUCUCAAAAAUAUAAAAAUUACUAAAAAUGGUCUAAAUCGGACUUACAUGCAAACGGAGACUUUGACCGAAUGCUUAAGCUAUCAUCCAUGGCUUCCCCUUUUCUCUAAUUUUGGCAAACACUAAGGAAAUAGAUGAUAGAUUAAUUGUUUUGUUUUUAUUUUAAUUUAAUUAUGAAAUUAUCAUUUUGUCCAUUUAAUAAUCAUCCAAAUUUCAUGCUUUUAUUUGCACAAAAUCGUCCACUAAAUUCUUAAAUGGUCUAAUUACCAUUUAAGUCCCUUUUCAUUUAUUCAAUAAAUCAUUUAAUCACUCAAAUCAAAUAGUGAUCUAAUUUUACAUCUUUUAAGAUUUAAUCCUUUUUAAUUAAUUAACUAACAAAACGUUAAAAUUUCUUAACAAAACUUUAAUACCACCUUAAUGACACUCUGUAAAUAAUUAUAAAAAUAUUUAUGGUUCGGUUUAUAAAAAUGAGAUCCCGAUACCUCAUUUUCUAAAACCACUUGACCUUAGGGUCUUACCACUUGAACUUAAUAAAUCACUUAUAUAACAUAAAUUAUCAAAUCAAAAAUCUUUUUAAAACCAUAAUUGACUCAUAAAUAUUUGUAAAUAAUAUUUACGAACUUACUCAUCAGAUUUGUGGUCCCGAAACUACUAUUUUCGACACCACUAAAAAAAAGGAUAUUACAGAGUGGUUUCAAAAAUAGCCUCUGUUUUUUAGUUUUUUCGAGUUCUAAACGAUGUUUUGGGUUAGAAUCACACACCUGAUGUUAAUUCUGAUUGACCGCACAAUAACGCACUCCAAAUACUACAUACGGUGCCAAAACACAUUAAUUAACAAACACGAAUUAACCUAAUACUAAUAUUGAAACUCGAAUUCGACAAAUGGAACUUAACAAAAUUAGUCCCUAAACUAAUAUUGACCCCAUUACCAUGGAAAAGAUAGCAACCUCAAACCGUAUUUGACCAUCAGAAGAGUUGAUGUUUCAUGAACUUCACCUAUAGGAACCCAAAACAAUUAACAUCGAAUGUUUACAAAAACAUCUUAAAUCUCCUAGCAUAACCACGAAAUAGAAUUAAUUCACCUUACCGAUGAAGAACACAUUUACGAGACUUACACUAGAUCGAAAAUACAAAUUCCUCACUCAGAACUCAACACCAAAACGAUGAUUCGCCAGUAAAAAACAAUAACUGGGAAACGACAAUAGAUGAACAACAAUUGAACUUGCAAAUAUGAACCAAAGCAAAAGAGCAAAAAUGAGGGGAAAUGGAGAAAAAAAUGGCAAAUGAAGUUUACAAACACAAAAGAAAAUAGCUAAAAUAGAAAAUGGGGAAAAUAUGCAAAUAAAAAUGGGAUGACAAAUUAAUGGAAAGAAAGGGGAAAAUGGGGAGCAUUCUUAGGGAAUAAUUUGCAAAACUACUUCCCACUAAAUCCACUCACUAACCUUUUAUUAGAUUCCUUCAUAAUUCAAAAUAAACUCAAUUUCAACCAUAAGGAAAGUACAAAAGGGAAUAGCAAAAAUAUUUCUCGUUUGCACACGCAAGGAUUUGAACACAGGAUUAAAAGGUAAGCUAAAGUCCUACCAUUAAAUCAGUAAGCUUAUUCUUACUAACAACUGAGCAAAAGUAAUUUAUAAAUCAGAUGUUCAAAGAAAAUUGUUUAGGCAAAAAUAGCAAAAAUACAAGGCAAAAGAUUCAAAGUCAAAACCUCUCUCACACAAGCACAAUACUUAACCACUGAACCAAAUUAACCCACUUGUCAUAAUUCCAACAACCUUUACUCAAAAACAUAACAUGACCACUCUUGGUUUCACUAACCCAAUUUUUUUUAACCCAGUUUUUGGGAUGUGACAGAGAGAAUACCAAAAAAAAUAUGAAAAUGUACAAAAAAUUACGAGGGAAUUUAAAAAAAUUACGAGAAUGUAUAAAAACUAUGAGAAAAUACUAAAUAACAUAAGAGGAUACCAAAAAUUGUAAGGGAUACCAAUUUUUGGUUCAUCUCAAAUUUUCAUUUAUUUAAUUUUUUAUAUUUUUUUAAUUAUCAUGAAAUAUAAUUUUUUUCUUACCAAUUUUUAGCAUUAAAAAUUAUAAUUUAACAAUUAAUUUUUUUUCAUUGCAAAAUAUCAUUGAAAUUUCUUAAUAUUUAAAAAUAAAUUUUUAUUUACUCCAAAAGUAUAUCUCUUAUCAAACCUUCUUUUUGAAACAAUGCCAAAAAUUAUGAGGAAGAACCAAUAAUUAUAAGUAUAUACCAAUUAUUAUGAUAAAAUCCCAAAAAUUAUGAUAUACCAAUUAUGAACUUGUAAGUUGUUCAAUAGAAGCUCACAAAAGAACCUCUCGUUGGAUUUGGGUGUAACUACUUAUAAUUUUACAAAGGUAACAUGUUUGGGUAACCAUUGUAAUUUGUGUGUUCCACCAAAUUGGGUGUAAUUGAAGCACCCUUAAUUACACUUUUCAAUUCUUAGGGGAGGGUGAGAGUUAGAUUAAUUACACAGAUAAUUACACCCAAAUUCAAUUUUAAAAUAAUAUUUAUUAUAUUAUAAGCAUGACAUGUAUGACUGUUUAGGAGGGUUAUGUCAACAAAUUUCUUAUAUUAUAAAUCUUAAAAAUUAUAUUAUAAAAAUAAUUUAUGUAUUUUAUAUGGUUAUAACAAAAAAUUCUUAUUUAAAUCCUAAAAAAAUUCUAAAUUUAUGGUCAAAAAGUUUAUUAUAAAAAAUUACAUGUUAUGAAAGUUUUAUACUAUAGUUAUUUAUAAAAAAUUAUGGCCAAAGUAUGGACAUAACUUAUUUCUGUGUUCAUGAUGUAUAUUAUAAACACAAUAUACUUAUUCAUAAAAAGUGUUAUAGUUUUAUUUUAUCAUAACUUAUUUAUUAAAAAAAAUUUAAAAAUAAUGGUAUAUUAUUUAUAAGAAGUAUUAUGAAAGUUUUGGACAAUUUAUAAAACAUUUUUUAUAAAGGUUAAAUAUUAUAAAUUUGAUAUUAUUUUGACUUAAUUUAAGCAUUAUAAAAAGGGAGAUAACCUAGCAUAAGUCUUUCUCCAAAUUAAGUUUAUAUAAGUUCUUAUAAUUAAAGAUACCAGAUUAUUUGAACAGUGAACCUAAAUAUUAUAAGGUCGAUGCUGAUUAUGCAAAUUAAAAAGACUUUUCUACACCAUAUUGUAGGGUAUGAUACCAUUUGAGAGAAUGUUAUCACACCUAAACGCCAUAGACAAUUCGCGAACUCUUUAAUUUGACAUAUUCAACGCUUUGAAAUGUGGUUGAGAAGACAUUUUUUGUUUUCUUUUAAAUAUUUCUCAUAUUAACAACAUCACCUUAGUAUAGCAUAAAAAAUGUGGAUCAUACUAACAUGUUGCAUAUUUUAUAACUUUAAUUAUAGGUGGAAUUGAGAUGAUCUAUGUAUUUCAAAGAGUACAUGGAAGAAGGAGAUAUUGAUAAUCUUAAUGAUGCAUAUUCAAAUUCAAAUGAUGAUGAACUCAAUUAAGAACAAACAGAUAAUGAUGAGAAUUAAGAAGCAUAAAUUAAAUAUUAAAUAUUGAAUAACCCAAUAAAUAUGCAUUAGAAUAAUAGAUAAAAUUGCAUAUGAUGUUUAUCUUUCUUGAUAUUUUUUCAGUAAUCGUAUUAUCAUCUACUUUUUUGGACUAACAUAAUUUAUAUAACGAUUUGAUUUUAAUUUUUGCUACUUGUUUAGAAACUCUUUCCAUCUUACUAAAAUUUUUUAUAGUACUUAAUAUUUAAAAAAAUAUAAAUUAUUUAACUUUGUAAUUGCAAUUUUUACUAUCAAACAUGAGUCAGGGAGCCACACUAUAAUUAUACUCUAUCAGCUAAAUACAUCUAGGGAAUUAAAAUUAUUUGCAAUUACAAGAGAGUGUAAUUACUACCCUAAUAAUUACAUAUGUGUGGAUAUAUAUAUAUAUAUAUAUAUAUGUAUAUAUGUGUAUGAAUAUGAUUAUUGUGGGCGAAUUUGAGAAUUUGGCUAUUCUGAAAAUUGUGAUUGUGAGUUCUGAGAUAUUAAUGAUGGUUGCGUUGUAAUACAUAUACCAUGAAUUGAAUUGCUUUCUAUGAUUAUUUCAUGCAAUGUUAAUUAAUGUGUCUUAAUAACCAUUGCUUUGAUUUUAUUGUAAACGGAUUCACAUUGAGCAUCAAAGCUCACUCCCCCUUAAAUUUUCAUCCUUUCAGAUAAGCUACCAAGUAAGGAUGCAAAUGUGGCAUCCGAAGGGACUCAGCUUAGUUUCGUUUUUCUUAACAUUUUAAGUUUCAUUAAUAUUCUUUAUUUCCUUUAAAAUAUUAUAUUAUUUAUUUAGAAACCGUGGCGUGGGAUUUAGGAUUUAGGUUUGUUUUAUUUUGCAUGCCAUUUUAAUUGAACUCUUAAGAUAUUAUGCUAUAAUUAUUAAUUAGUAUGCAUGAACCUCCAAUUUUCCUUAAAACCAAUAGAUAUUGUUUUUUCUACUGCUAAAUUAAAAUAAUAAGGACAAUAAAAUGAUUUGUAACUAAGUUUUCAACUAAAUUAAAUAAAUGUUUUAAAAUAUCUUGUUUUCAAAAACUCUGAUAAUCUUACUAGGCCAUCUUAGUGGUUGAUGUAGUCUCAUGAAUUCAGGUCUAAAGUCUAGGCCGGGUUGAGAAGGUUACAUUUCUCACUGAAACUUUCCUUGUAUUCACACGAAGCCUGAAAUGUUACCCCCAUCCCAACUUUCUUAACCCUAAUUUCCUUACGUGGAUCAUUAAUUUGUAUGCCUUUUUAUUUCAAGUCGUUUACUCUUAAUUUAACCCCAGCUAAGAUUUUUUUUUUUGGCCCAACACUAACUUCCAACUUCUCUUUAUUUUUUAACCAGUUUGUUCAUGAACCUCUAUUUUCUCCCAACGAGAAGCCCAAAGUAGGCACAACAACUUUAUUGUUAUCUUUUGAUAGCUCUUCAAUAAUUUCAGCCUUUGCAACCCACAAAUCUUCAUUCCAAUCAGAAAUUAAAGAGAAACGUGAGCCAUUACUGUGGUUUUGUUGAUUUGUUUCCAUAUUCAUUUUUCUCCAUAUAGGCCUUCAUGAAUGAAGCGAAACAACCAUCCAUGAGCCAAACUCCUUAGCUUCCUCCCUUUUGUUUAAUUCCGCUAGUGCUAAGGUUUUGACGUUCAUGUUCUCUUCCAUCUGGUUUUCUGUCAGUUCCUUUCAUCGUAGCUUAGGUCAUACCUCCUUUUGAUGGCCAUAAAAGCUACCGCCAAAGUAAACAUUCGAUAAGCCCUCAUACUACACUCUUUGUAGUUUGCCUUCCACACGAACAUUAGAGAUUAAAGGACGAUUGAGAUCAACACUUACUGCCAUCUUCGCAGAUUGGCCCCUUAUCCGAUUUUCCGUUUGAUUAUCCACCUUGAUCAAUUGGCCAAUUGAAUUACCCACCGCUUCUAGUAAGCAUUUUUUGAAAAAUGAUCCUGAUAAACCUGGGAGUUGGAUCCAAACCACUAAAUGAUUCGGAAGGCUUUGAGAAGUAUUGAACGAAGAUAACCAUGCUUGAACUGUUAGGUAUUGAUCAUAAAUCGUCCAAAGACCUUCAAUUGGCGCCUUAUUAUAAUCUUCUUUUGACUAAAACUUAAUGAAAUAGUAAUCAUUUUCUAAGUUUGAUAGCAAGUUAAUCUUGUGUUUUUAAUGAACUUAUUUUUGGACAAAUUUUGAAUAGAAUGCUACUAAGCAUGUGAUUUCUUGUUUAAAUUUAGUCAAGACCCAACUAGACUGUCGAAGUUCAAAUAAAUAAGCAAAUUGGGCUAAAUUGGAACGAAAAGCAAUAAAAUGUGUCAAAUUGAAAUGUUGUAGAAUUAGUGGUUGAUUAAAAAUCAGAUUUUGAAUUUUUCAAACUCUAUAAAUGGAAAAAAAAUCUAAUUUUAGUUGGUUGCUAGGCAUAAUCUUAGGAGGAAUCAUGCUAAAUUUAGCAUAUGAGAAGUGUAUAAAUACCUUGGAGGCAUGGAAAGACACUUGAAAUUAAAUUAAAAACAUUUUUUUCCCUUUUCACGCGUCUGUGGCUAUCAAGCUACUGCCAUUUUUUUGUUCCCUUAUUUUUUUGGUUCAAUUGCUCUUUAAGUCCUUUCUCAUUCUCACCUAUCACCAUUUCAAGUAAAUUCAUUCUCUUAAUCCAACAAAGCAUGAUUAAUCUCAUGUUCAACUAAACCCCAUUUAGCCUUAGGCUGAUUGUCAUUUUGGUCGAAAAUCGUGAGAUAUGAAUCUGCACUAAAACUUUACAACACGAUAUUCAUUAUCUCUCUGGUAUAUGGGAUAGUCACAUUCAUCCCUUAAAGUUAAUCAAAUUUCAGCUCAAAGUGCACGUUGAGAGGGAGUUGUUUUGGUGAACAGUUGGGAAAAUAAGUCGGUCGUCUACCAUAUUCGAGUUCCUAUGAACAAAUUGAAGUGUCCAAUUGGAAAAAGCUAGUUGGAUUCCGUCAAAAGAAUGAUGAUUGGAUUUAAACGACCCAUGCGAUUAAGGCCGUUAAUUCGAGUUGGGCUUUUCUAGAUCCUAGGGAUGCCGAUAUCUUAAACUGCGGACACAUGUUACGUGGUUAGAUAAUCGAUAAUGGUUGGUUUGCAGGUCGUACCUGAACCAACUACACAAAGAAGAGUUGGCGGUUAAGGCGUCCUUAAUCGUUAUAACCAACUUAUUGUUUGGAAGAAAGAAAUCCACUUUCAAGGAUCGAUUCGAGUUUGAAGUGUACCGAGGCUAAGGCUAAGCAUUCACAUAUUUGAUUUACCAACUUAAUUUAUUUUCAUAAUUAUCAUUCUAUUAUUAUUUCAUUUCAUUUUAUAUUUGUUUUUUUCAACUAAAUUCCUUUUUAUUUAUUUUUCAGCUCUGCACGUAUAAGUCAUGGGCAUGAUAGCUACCUAGACUCAAGAAUUUGGUCAAGUAAACAUGAAAAUUAGGAAUCCUAGUCCCUGUGGGAUCAACCCUACUACUCUAUACUAUUGUUUAAUUCAAUUAGAGUGUAGGAAAUUAUAUUUGGUGGUUUUAACGCCAAUCAAAUUUUGGCAUCGUUGUCGAGGAUUAGAAAUAAUUAUAAUUUUCAUUUAUUUUACAUAUGAAAUGUCAGAACCGGGGACCUUAGAGUUUGAACAAAAAAUUCAGAAGUAAGCUUGAACAUUCUGAAGAGAAGCUAUUCGAUGCGAAAAACAACCGCCAAUAAAAUAUGAAACACUGUCUUAUACGAAAGAAAUUGACGAUAUACACAGUGAACUAGAAGAAAUGGUAAAUCAAACCAUUCGACAGCUCGUUGCAGCCUUGGAUAAGCAAGAACUGCUAUUCAUAAGUUAUCCAACGAGAGGAACACCAUUUGAAUUAAAGUCGAGCUUAAUUCAUUUACUGCCCACUUUUCACGGUUUGAAAAACAAGAUCCCCAACACUUAUCUUAAGGAGUUCCACAUGGUUUGCUUAAGUAUGAAACCUUAAGGAGUAACCGAAGAUCAAAUUAAACUUUGAGCUUUUCAUUUUUUGUUAGUCGGCUCUGCUAGAGAACGAUUAUUUUAUUUACCUCCAAAAUCUGUUAACACAUGGUCUAAUAUGUCCCGUUUAUUUCUUGACAGUAGUUCGGGCAGUCGAAUUAAAGAGAGAUAUUGUCAAAAUAUGACAAAAGAAGACCAAAUAACUUUAUAACUACUGAGAGCGAUAUAAGAAGUUGUGUGAAAGUUGCCCAAAACAUAGCCUAACUGAACAAUAACUUCUUCAAUAUUUCUAUGAGGGGUUAAUCCCUAUGGAAACAUAGAUGAUUAAUGUCGCCAAUAGAGGAGCACUAGUUAACAUGACUCCUCAAAGAACAAGGGAAUUGAUUUCAACCAUGGCUGUGAAUUCCCAACAAUUUCAACCAGCUAUAGAACCCACAAAAAGGGUUUAUGGGCUAAGUACUCUAACCUUAGAAGAUAAAAUUGAGAAGCUCACUAAUGUAGUUCAAAAUUUACUUGCAGGAAAAAUGAACCCAGCUCAGUUUUGUGAGAUUUAUGCUAUGCCUGAUCAUCCAGCAAACUCGUGUCCAAUUUUACACAAGGAUAAAACUGCAUAAGUAGAUGCCAUUGGGAACAUCCUAAGGCCACCUUGAAGGUAUUAUGAUCCACAUUCGAGUACUUACAAUACAAGGUGGAGGGACCACCCAAAUUUGAGUUAUGGAUCGAUCAAUGGUACAACCAACCAUAUCAGCCAAGGCCACCUCUGCCUCAACAAUUUCAACCUCCAAAGUCAUCUCUUGAGACCACAGUGGAGAGAUUAGUUGUUAGCACCGAAAAGUUCCAACAGAAGACAGAAACACACCUAUAAGAAAUAGAUAGGACAAUGAGUAAGCUUGCGAUUAUGUUCAGUUGAUUGAAGUCCCAAGGGAAGUUGCCAUCUCAAAUAUAGUCGAAUCCACGACAAAAUGCAAGUGCUAUGAUAUUAAAAAGUGAAAUGAUUUUAGAGCCAACACUUGGCACGAGUCAUGAUCACGACACUGAAUGGAAAGAACAGAAACUUGACCCAGCAGCUCUUUCGGAGUUAGCACCGUAGAAACCGUUCGUGGUACCACCUGCAUUCCCUAGAUGGCUCGCCUAAUGUAAAUAAGAACUAGAAGAGAAAGAAAUCUUAGAGACUUUCUGGAAGGUAGAAAUUAACAUCCCAUUACUUGAUACAAUCAAACAAGUUCCACGUUAUGUGAGAUUCUUAAAAGAGUUGUGCGCUGGUAAGAAGAAGCUCCUAGGUAACGAGAAGGUAAAUGUAGGAGAAAACAUCUAUAUGGUUUUACAAAAUAAAAUCUCACCUAAGUGUAAGGACUAAGGUAUGUUCUCUAUAUCCUGCAAAAUAGGUAAUGUUGACAUUAAAAAGAUCAUGUACAAUUUAGGUGUAUCUAUUAACGUUAUGUCUCUAUCUAUUUAUAAAUUGCUCAACAUGGGUCAUUUGAAAGAAACAAUGGUGAUAUUCAGUUACUGGAUAGGUCAGUUAUGUAUCCGAAAGGGGUGUUGGAAGAUGUCCUCGUCAAGGUAAAUGAAGUAAUUUUUCUUACAGAUUUUUACAUAAUCGAUAUGGAGGAUGACAACUCAAAAAAUUUCUCCAAUAUUCUACUCAUGAGACCAUUUUUAAGCACCACAUGUAUGAAAAUUAAUGUCUGGAGUGGAAUGCUCACUAUGGAAUUUGAUAGUGGAGUGGUUAAAUUCAAUGUUCAUGAGGCGAUGGGUCACCCAUGUACAAUGACAAAUGUCUUUAGCAUUGAUAUUAUUGAACCAUUGACAAAGUUACAUUUUGAAUAUCAUAAAGAGGAUGACAUACAAAAUGUACUUUGCAGGAGUUUAGAUUUUGAUGCUACGGAAAAAUUAGAAGAAUCAGUAACGAUCGAGCAUAAUGCAUUGCCUCAGAAGGUUAGUAGGUGAAUAGAUAAACAUGUAAUUCCAUCCCAUUUCAUGAAACAUAACUCAAUAACAAAUCAAUAUACAUAUCAUCCAUCAUGUAAACAAUUAAUACACUUUUCAUUUUAAACACAUACACCAACAUUUUCCAUUCCACAUUAUAAUAUAACAUAAACCUUUUUAUAUAUAUACAUAUUCAAAUGAAAAAUUUAUCCCCCGUUGAACCAAAUAUAAUAUCAUCGGAUACUUUGGAAAUGCUUACACGAGCUUGAAAUGGGCUUGGUUACACGAGCUGUGGGUCAGGAUGUUAAGCUACACGAUGCUGCUCACACAAGCUGUGGAAAAUCUACAACAAAUAUAAGAUCUUAGCCAUCGAUAGGACAUCCAAGACUAGCACCCGAAAUCGUAUAACUCAUAAUGACAUGUCAUUUGUAACCUAAGUAUUCUCGAGGUUCAAACGAGACAUUUUCUAUUUUAAAUCCUUUAACUUCUUUCCAUUAUACGUUUUCUAAUAUAAACAUUCAUGACACACACAUUUUUUUCCCAUUUAUUCAUCAAUUGAAAUAACAUUACAAUUUAAUCCAACUUAUUAAUUAACAAUUUUGUAUUCAAUAAAAGUUAUACAAAGCAUAACCUCAAACAAUCAUUUAUCUAAAUUGGAAAUUAACAAGUUUACCAUUAUACAAACUUACUUUGACUACCACAGUUGCAAAAAUAGAAUCGACAACUAAUCCAAGAUUUAGCUUUUCCUCAAUUUAAAUUCGAUCGUGGCGUUUCUUGAUCAUGCAAGCCAACAAUACUUGACUGAAAGCUUCUUACUCCUCUAAUGGUGGUUUCGGUUAGAACCAAGAGAAAUGGAGAAGAUGAUGACAUUUUGGUUUAUUUGUUUAUGCAUUUAUUUAUUUAUUUAUUUAUUUACCAAUUUACACUUAAGAUUUCUUUUAACAAAAAGAAAAACAAAGCAUAAUGCCGUCCAACAUGCAUUCACAUCGUAUAAUGGCAACAUAAAGCCCUUAACUUAUAAUUCCAUGACAAAUUAGCUAUUAAUUCUAACUUUUGCAACUUUUACGAUUUAGUCAUUUUCAUUUAAUUAACUAUUUAAACCUUAAAAUUUCUUAACUAAAAUUAAUAUAACCUAAAUAAAUACUCAUAAACAUUAAAUAAAUAUUUAAACACUAGCUCAAUUUUCAGAAUCGUGGUCUCGAAACCACUAUUUUCGACACCACUGAAAACAAACUGUUACAUUGUUGUCGUUAAUUGUUUCUGUUAACAUUUGUCACCUUAGUGUGUAUAUUUUCUAUCAAUCGUAUGAUAUGUCACACGAGGGAAACUUAAUUAACAUGCUUUGGCAGAAAAUACUUAUGAUUUUAAUUACUGGAAUAGAAUUUUGAAAUCAAAAUAAUUUGAGGACUUAAUUUUUAACUUUUUAAGUACAUGGGCUAAAUAUCAAAUCUUGUCAAAGUACAAUGACUAACUGUAAUACCUUAUACCCAGCCCAGUUGUUGAGCCUGAGUAAUAGGACUCUACAUCAAACAUUGAACUUAUACAUAUUCACACAAUCUCAAAUACAUGCAACCAUCGUCACUUUCAAAUAUUUAGAGGAGUAUUGAGUCUUUAACACCUUAGGUAACAUUUAAAACGACUUAACAAAUGUUUAUUGACAUUAAUAACAAGUUAAUCAUCUAUGAGGAUCAUCUAACAAAAAUUCCCAAAGAAAUCAUGUAGGUAUUGAUACUCAGUCGCAGGUAUCGAUAUUUAUGAAAAUAUGUAUCGAUAGCAUCAGAAAAAUCAAUACCUUUUUAGCAUUAUGUUUCUUCGCAAAUUUUUAGAACCAAACAAAAUAAUCAAUACAAAGCAAAAGUAUCAGUACUUUUACCCUGAGUGUCGAUACUCGUGAAAUGGUAUCCAUACCAAAAUGAGCUAUUAUUUACCUGCACAUUCGAUACAGCAUAGAGGUAUCGAUACUUAUGCUUGAAUAUCGAUAUCUCUGCACUAAACAUAAAAAAUAUAACGAAACGGGGCAAAAAUUCAUAUAAACAUCUUCCUAUUCAAUAGGCAUCAAAACCUCAUUAUUCAACACCAAAAUGACCAUACUUGUAGUUCAAAGCAACAUCAAUAUUUCAAUUAUUCAAGCCAAAAUAAAACCAAUAAGAUGGUAAUAAACAUCCAUCAAAUCCUAAGCGUCUAAAUUCAUAGUAAAACUUUAAAAACAUAAUAAACAUCAACCAAAAUCUCUAACCACAUUGCCUUUAUUUCAACAAUUCAAAGAAUAAUCAAAAUGUCACCUACUUAAUUUAUUAAGCUUAACUUGGAUCACUUCCUUGGAAUUGCACCGCUCCAAUCGUAAUGCUAAAUAUCUGCAAUGGUUUAGAAUGGAGUGUGUGAGCUUAAAUAAGCUCAGUGAAUGUACAGAAUGACUGCAAAUACAGACAAUGUUAUACAUUAAACGAAAGCCACAAAAGACAUAUUCCCAAUAAUGUUUAACUAUAGUGCCAAAUUAAGAUAUUUAUGUAUCACUUACUAAUACAUCUAACAUUAUAAUCACAUAUUGAUACAUACAUCAUAAUUCACAAACAAUUCAUUAAUUGAUACUUUGGCAACUUGAGAUUGUGAAACAUAAAAGUGGGCUUUAUCACCAUACAUUGGAUACAUGGGUCUCCAACACACUAAUGACUCGAGGAGUCGAACGUCUCUCAAAAGUGUAGCAAUAAGUUAACACUUUCCAAUACACCAACAUAUCCUGAUGAAUGGAGCUUAGAUCACACUCCUUUAUCUCUCCAAACUGUCCUAGGCCUUAAUGCCCCAAAAUCACAACACAAAGGUGAGUACUCACAAAAUCCUAUGGCAUGCAAACUAUAUCCAACGAUCUCGAAAGAUUACAAGGCCAAAGUAUCCACAAAUAAACACAUAUUUACUUACAAUUCGUUGCACACUGUCACUGUACAUUUACAUCAUUAACACAACGUCAUCACUAUUAGUUGGCAUAUUUAGCACGCUCACAAAUGAAACAUUUCAAAAGAGCUAACACAACUUAUAUAACAUAUCACAUUACCACAUCAUACUAUUCAAUCCACAACAUAUAGUCACAAUUUUUGCAAAAUAAUCGAGAGGAAUAAGAAAGCUUACACUCGGAACUUAGAGAAGGGAUUUAGGCUACUCCUAAGCUCCUAUUUAACACUAUGAAUCAUGUCUACAAACAGUGAUUCCAAACACUCACCGUUCAUGCUUUCAUCUAAUUGUCGAAAGUUUAAACUAGUUUCUUCUUACCUUUCGCCUUACUCGAAGAAGGUCCUAACGAUUUCGAAGCUUCACAGAUAAAAACCACACAAUAUACACAAUUAAUUUACAGUUGUAAACACAUUUCAACAAGCAAAAACGCUGGUCUAAAUUAGUUCCUCUUGAAAUUGAAAUUUUCGACUAGCAUAGUUGAAACUCAAAUAUCUUAAUUCAUAUCACUUAGAAUUGAUUCUAAACAUCUAAUUACUCAUCUAAGAAUAAUUCUCAAACUUUAAAACACCCAAAACUGCUCUGAUUCAUGGUUCCAAAAAUUUGACAUACAUGGUUAAUUUUUAAUGAAAAUUCAACAAAACCUUCAAAUCUUUUAACAAAACUUUAAAACAAUUUUAAAAACCUUCUAAUCACAUCAAACAAGUUGAAAAACACUUUGAAAUAGUAAUUUCAUUCAAAAUUCUAGAUUUCACCAUUAACGACUCCAAUUUCGGCUAACAUGGGAAAUUCUCGAUUCAAUUGAUUAAAACUUGAUUUAAAAGACUAGACUACAUCAAAAACUAUUAGGAAAGUGAGACAUUACCUUGAUUAAAGGGGAAACGAACGUUUGAUUGAAAAUCCGAAAAAACUCACUUGGAAAAAUCAAUGGAUUUAAUGGUGUCCUUGGUGCUUUUUUUUUAAUUCAAAGGGGUUUUAAUGUUUGAAGGAUGAUAGAAAACAAGAGAUUGGAGUAACGAAGAUAAAAAAUUGAAGGAUUAAGUUUAGGGGUUUUCUUUCUAAUGGACUGUACAAAGAAAAGGGUGAGAGGGUGUUUCUCUUUGUUUUUUUCUUUCACAGUCAAAAUAUAGGGUGAAAGCGGGAAAUAUGAGUUGAUUUUAAAACUUGGUAUAAUUAAUUUAAAGCUACUCCUACAUUAAACCAUUUUACAAAAUGAUACUCUUUUUAAAAUUUAAAGCCUAUUUCACACUAUUUUCAUAAAUUGGUUUAAAAUUUUUAAAGCCAUAAAUGAAAAUAUUUUCGAGUUAUCACAUUCCGAAUUUUUGAACUCAUUUCGUGCUACAAUUCUAAAAUUACCCUCGAAAAUUCUAGACCCAAUUUUGGGAUGUGACACUAACAUCAUAAUUUAACCUAAAUAUAAAUAUAUAAACAAAGUAAAAAGUAAGCGUAUUAUAUAUGAAUAAUUAUUUAAUACACCGCUAAUAGAGAUUUUUGAACUCCACAAGCAGAUUGAGGGUGUGACAAGUCUCAUAUUUAUUUAUAUAAUUAAUUUUUUAUUUUUAUUAUUACAUCAUAUAAUACCUUGUCAAACCCUCAACUCACUUGUAGAGUUUAAAAAACUUCACUAACGGUAUAUCAAAUAAUUUUUCAUUAUAUAAGGGGUGAUAUUUGGUACACUAGUAAUGUAUUUUUUUUUCAAGCUACUUUAAAAAAUUGCCAUAUGUCUUUUGUAAAAAUAUAUUUUACUAUGCUCCUAAAGGACACUUGUCAACCCUGAUCUUACUUGUAGAGUCUGAAAACUUCACUGACGGUGUACCAAAUAUUAUUCAUAUAUAUAAUAGAAUUUUUUAAGUUACAAAGAUUUUCUUUUAAAAUUUAUUCGAUAAUAAAUAUAUAGGUAGAACAAUAAUGAACUUGUAUUGUAAUACUAUUGAAUAUGUGUUUGAUCCUUAGAUUUAUAGUUUUAAAUUAUUUUAUUUAAAUACGAUAUAAAAUAUGAAAAGAGAAAAAUAUCAUAAUAAUAAAUUAAUUAUAGUUUAAAAGAAAAAAAUACUUCUAUAAUUUCAUAAUUAAGUUGACGACUCAAUUAAUGAUAAUAUCGAUAUAAUAAAGUGUUUAAAUAGAAGUAUUAAAUUAAAAUUAUUAUAUAUAUGAUAAAAUAAUGUCACAAAUUAAAUAAAAUUUAUAUCGAAGGGUGAAGAAAAAAGGAUUUAGUGCAUUCAAAAUUUCACCGAGACAACUUGAUUUGAAGGUUUAAAUUAUCUUACUAGAGGUAGUUCACUCAUCCUCAAAUCAAUAAAAAAAAAUAUUUUUGAAAUAAGUAUGAUUAGUUAGAAAAUUUAUCAGGGAUGAUGGAAUUAAAUUGUAUAAUUUUAUAAGAAUUAAAAUAUAAUUUCACCAUUUAAAAUAUUAAAAUAUUAUUAUUUUACAGAGAAAAGUAUAAAUUUACUGUGUAGUAAUUUAAAAUUUUACAAAUUUCAAAAGGUAAAAAAUUAAAUUUUCCGGAUAAACCCCUACCUACCUUUCUGCUGCCGCCCUUCAUUUCAAGGUAAGCGAGAAAUAAAAAACCAAUUCGAGCCAUCACAUUUUGGAGCAUAUUUGGAAUAUAAAUUUAAAAUUACGGCCACUAAAAAUUAAUUUAAUUAGUAUGAUGUGAAAAUAAUGAUUCUAUAUUAAAAUUAACUUAAAAGUAUUAUAUAAAAACUAUUUUUUUUGAAAUAUAUUAUAUAAGAGUUAUGAUUAACUUUUUAUUUACUUGAAUUUUUAAGAAAUAUUUAUAAUUUCUUUUGAAAAUUUUACCAAAUAAUAUUUAAAAACUAUAAAAUAAAGAGAAUAUUCUUAAAAUAAACUCCAAAACCUAAAACCUAAAAUUAAUACCGAAGAUAGUAAAAGAAAAACUCCGUGGAAUCAAAUUGGGCCGUAAAACAGUUAAAAAGGCUAAAAAAUCUCAAGUCGGACCGGAUAUUAGACACGUGGGUAAUUGGCCCAUUUACGUUAAGAUUCUAAAAAUCGAACUCGACGACAGCUCCUCUAUAAAUACCCCUGGCCUCUGCAACCAAAUUUCAGUUUAAUUUGUCGCUCGUUUUCCAGCACUUAUAUACAAUUUUCACAAUUUUUUUUUAUAAAAAUUCAGAUAAAUGUAUAUUUUUUAAUUUUAAUUUUUUUUCUGUUAAUUUCCCUCUUUUAUUAACCAUCAAACCGAAAUUUUGUUCUUUCCUCUAAUUCUUUUCUCUCUCAGUUCAAUCCCCAAAGCCCUUAAAGAACUUCAUGGGUUUAGGUUAGGUUAAAUUGUUCUAGGUUUUCUUCAGUUUUCUUCGAUUUGCAGAAAUAAAGAAAUAUGGGUCACUCUAGCUUCCAAGGUCUUCAAUUUCACAUAUUUUUCACUUUCAUUUCCUUUACUUUGGAUUGAAUUGUAAAGCCUCUUUUGUUUUUCAUUCUUUUGAGCAGAUGAAGAUGACGAUGAAGAAGAAUACGAGGAGGAAGCUGGUGGGAGUAAUCGGCUUCUGGGUUUUAUGUUUGGGAAUGUCGAUAACUCCGGUGAUCUUGAUGCUGAUUAUCUUGAUGAUGUAAGUUUUCUUUUAUAAUUUGAUCCCCUUUUCUUCUCGGAGCUUAAAUUGUUGGCAAUUUAUGCGUGAGCCUAAACAAAACAUUUCUACGCUGUUGUGGCCGUUUAUGAAGCCGUUAAAGCUCGUUCUUUGCUUACUUUGUAUGUUAAGUAGUAUGUGGAAUCCCAAGUUCUUGAUGGGUUUGGAAUGUGCAACACUUCGCCUUUUUGGUGGAGCUGGGUUUGGAUGAGAGCAUAGGAUAAAAUGAAGCUGAUGUGAGGAAGGAGAGUGCAACACUUCGCCUUUUAUGCUUCUUUUUGUUUUUGCUGAAGAAGUAAAUGUACUUAUUUUAGUGUUUAAGGAGCAAUUAGGAUUUAGGCUUAUAUUAAUUUGGAUUUUGCACCUGAAGAGUGGUGGAACAGAAGCCUCUUGAAGCUUCAGUGAACUAUUUCUAAUUGAGUUUAGAAUGAAGUGCAUGGUGUGCAAAAGUUCAUUUGAUUUGAAGAAUCGCUAAAUUUAAUUUAAAUACAGAGAAUAACCAUGUUUUUUAUAAACUCGUUUGUUCUGCAAAUUCCUGUCAAAUUCAACUCCAUUAAAUAUGAAUCAAGUUGAAUGAAACUCUUACAAGUUUGGAGAAAUAAACUCGCCAAUCUCAUUUAGUUCAAUUACAAGACUCAAGCCAUGUAAAAUAAAGGCCAUAGAAAAGGAUAUUCUGUAACUAAAUUAGGAUCAAAUUCAGACUAGCGAACCCAAGCAAAUUAGUCGAAAGCACUAAUGAUACUGACACAUCAUUUAACAUUUAAACUAACAAAAAAAAAAAAAAACUUGUGGCACUGGAUUUUAUAUGGGAAUUAUAAAUGAUAUAAUAAUUAUUUGAGGUUAGCUUCCUUUGGAUCUGAAGGACUUUGUUUCUGUUAAAGGACCCAUGAUUUCACUUCAUACUUCUUAGCUCUUCCUGAACCUGAUAAACCUUGCAAGAGAUAACAUGCUAAUUUGGCUUGCACUGUCUAUUUAAGCUGUUAGUUUGAUGCUUGGCUGAGGGUUUUCAUUUUCGUACUGUUUUUUCCCCUGUUAAGUAUCUUUUUCUUCUUAGCAGCUUCAUUACAGAUAACAAACUUUAUUUCUUCCAGGAUGCAAAGGAACAUCUCGCUGCGGUAGCAGACAAGCUGGGUCCAUCUCUUACAGAUAUAGAUGUAUGUUUUUCUAUUACGGGUUAUCUCUGUUCUCUCUUCCCCCUAAGAAUCUAUGAUUCAUAAUAAAUAAAUAAAUAAAUCUAAUGCAGGCUAUCUUCUCUAGUGUUUCAUUAUUAUUUUUAAGUGAGGGCUUGUUUUGCUAAUGACACUGUUUGAUUGUCAGUUGUCAGAAAAAUCACCGCACACUCCAGCUGAUGCCGCUGACCAAGGUGAUGUUGUAUGGCCGGGAAAUCUAUCUCAUGCAGUUUUUGAUGUUCUGUUAAUAUGUUUGUUUCUUCAACUUGUUGACCAUGCUUUAUUUAUGCUGGCUCCAUACAAAUAAUCUUUAAGAUGCUUUAUGGGAACUUCUCUGCCUGUUGACUGAAGUUAGUGUUUGGUCAUAAAAAGCCCACUUGAUACUUGAUGGAGCUGUUUUCCUGGACUUGAGUCUACUGGAUUUCUGAAUGAUAGUUGAUUCAUUUUACCUAAUGAAUGAUUUGACAGGAAGCUUUUUCAUUUUACUGUUGGGGUACUGAUUUCUGAUCGAAUUAGUGUCGUGAUUAUAAAAAUGAUAUUGGAAAGUUAAAAGUUUCCUUUAUUAAUGUGCUUGAAUGCAUAUGGCAUUAUCCGGGCAUAGAGUUGAACUGCAAACCAUAAUGUUUCUAGGAAACUUAGUGCUUACAGAGUAACUUUUGAUUGGUAUAGAGUCCAUGAUUUGCUUUCCCUAACUACUACUGAACUGGUGGCUAGGUGGCCUUGUAAAGGCUGCUUUGCAUUCAUGAGCAAUUACCCUCAGCCAAAAACCAUAAGAAUGGUAUGAUGAAGCGUAGAAUAUUUGUUAUCAUGCUUGCAUAAGCCAGUUCUUGAGAUUGAAAAUCAAAAAGGGUUUUAAAUUUAAUGCCCCAGCGGAGCCUACUAUUUUGGUCUUGUCUCCUAUUGGUAAUCCACAUAAUUCUUAGUGAUUUUCUUAGGUUUUUUCCUUUCAUCAGGAUACGUGCCUCUAGGUGUGAUGUGUUUCUUCUAUAUUUGUUAUUUUCUGGAAUGUAGAUUACUCAUUUUUAAUCUUUUUUAUUAAAAGGCUAUGGAGGCUAUAUGUCAUUGCUUGGACAAGUUGUGUUGCUCAAAGGGUUUUAUGCCUCACAACAAUCUGGUGUCUAUCACUGGUCUAAUAUUCUGAUUAUGUGUUCAAUGUGGUUUCUCUAUGAUAGAUUAUGAUGAGAAGUAUGAAAAUGCUAUUGACUAUGAAGAUAUUGAUGAGGAGUAUGAAGGUCCAGAGACUCAAGCUGCUACUGAGGAGGACCAUUUACUUCCCAAAAAGGAAUAUUUUACUGCUGAUGUUUCUUCUGCUUUGGAGCUUAAAACCUCCGUGUUCGAUGAUGAAAAUUAUGACGAGGAUGAGGAAAGUGAAGAGGUGGUAGGUAAGCAUAUACAAGGUUCAAAUUGUUUAUCUGGUUCACCAGUGAACUGCAGUAUUUUUCUAGUUCAGUAAUGAUUAAUUUUAUCUGGCGGUAUAUUCAGUUUUUUUUUUUUGAGAGAAAAUAUCUUAACUGAUAAUCAUUGUGGUGACAAUCCAAUACUCUUAGUUGGGUGCCUUUGCUCAUAUUUAGGGUCUUGAAUGUUUGAUAACAACUAUCUCAUCCCUGAGUACCUUUCAUAUAGUCUUUUGAUCAAUAGAUCUUUUUUUGUCUUAAGAGAAAAAAGUUUGAUGUUGGAAAAUUAAUCGUGUUCAUUAUUCUAGACAGUAGGUCUUUUAUACUAUUAAAUAUAUCAAAUAGAAGGUUGCCUGUUUCAUUUGUAAUGAUUGUUAUAAAAACUUAUGUAUUCUACACACCUUGGACUGUGGUUUUUCCUCAUUUAUCAAUCUUUCUUAUUAUAUUUUUUAAAUUAAAUAAGAAAGUUCAGAUUUGGUUAUAGGUGGUCAAAUUUUCUCUUGUGUACAAAUUUCUCGUAAUAGAUUUGAUGAAAUUCUUUUUUUAUUUUGCUGCAAAAUGUGUUCUACAAAAUUGUCUGUGUGUGAACUGUAGACAUGGUAUUUUAAGCCUCUUUACAUGCACAAAGAAGUUAUCAAAAGCUGGUUUCUUGUUUGGUUAUCUCUUUCUACUGAUUAACUGCUAAAUAAUGGUUUAAUUACUUUCUAUGCUGGUUUGUGAAUAUAGACGGAUUCACCCCUAGUUAUGUACCAACAUGAUCUUUUAUUAUUAUUAUUACGAUAUGCUAUCUUCUGAUUAGUGUAAGUGAUAUCUUUGUGUCUUCUACAUAGUCACUAAAUUAACGGAAUAAGAAAGAAUUGCUAGUUUUAUGUGUCUAGUUGAUGAACAUAUGCUUUUCCUUUUUUAUGGAUUGAAUCUACUUGAUUAUGUAUUUAAUUACAUAUAUUGAGUUACAGUCUCUUUAUAUAUCUCCUUUUCCUUUUUUAUCUGAUGUAUAUAAUCUAUUCCCACUAAGGUAAUUUAAGUUAAGCUCUCUUACAUGCUUGUUUGUUUAGGAUCAACUAGCAGUGGUUACUUUGUUCUGGUUCUAGUUAAUCUACAAACUGAUUAGCUUACAUAUUUUCUUUGUGAGAAAUGAGAACUGAAUAGCUUACAUAUUAAUCUUGUGUUUUGUAGAGAAAGUUUAUUUCUUUUAUGUGAUAUCUUUUGACUUAUUUUAGAAUGUCUUUAAUUCUUUUCCAUGUGAUUUUCUUGGAAAAUAUGCCCAAGCAAUCCUUGGUCGGGUGCUUUUAUGGCAUCUUUCACCUUUGAUUGCAGUGUUUAUGACAAAUCCUAUCUUUUUUCUUUGCUAGACUGAAUUUUAGCACCUUUUUUCAGUUGAGCCGGAAGAGCAUCUUGCGGCAACAUUUGAAGUGGGGAAAUCUCCUGGGCAUGAUGUACAUUGUGGCUCUUCAGACAGUGAAGAUCAAGUAGAUGGUACUGAAGAUCUUCAGGUGCCUAUUCAGUGUAGUAUUUGGCUCUUACUAUUAUUAUCUUUAGAAUUUAAGUGUAAUUUGCCUUUUAGAAGUGUGAGAAAUAUUUGGACAACCAUGAUUUUUUGUGGGCAGAUAUUCCUUUUGGAUUGUCAUUUCAAAGAAAAUUAACUCAAAUUGUGUAAUGAAGUGAAGCCUACGCCUUUUAAAGUUGUUCAACACAAUAAGGCCCCCUAAUUAAAUGUUAAAUUUUCAAUAUAUAGAUUUAAGACAAUGUUUUGGUUUCUAUUAACUAGCACAAUGUUUAUUUCUUAUGUAUUAAGGCAUCAGGGUUAUAUUUGGUUUUUGCUAAAGUAGGGUCUAGCUGUAAAUUCUCAUGCUGUUACUUCCAUUUUGGUCUAAUAAUAGAGGGCUUCAAGCACUAUCCCUCUAAUUGCUUUUGUUAUAAUGACAUGUUUGUACAAGAAGUUAUUGUAUUCACCCCCCUUCCUGACUGCUCUUUGAGAAGUUGGUAUCUGAUUUCAAAUGUUGCUUUUAAUAACUUUACUGGACAUAUUUUGCAACAAGGUUGCUGUUCAGAAACUUAGAGUAGGAAAUUGCUUUUAUUUUUUCAUGAUUGCUUAGUUAGUUCUGUUUCUUUAAGUGCUCAACUAUGACAAACUCUAACAGGAAAUGUAUUUUUUUUUUUUUUUGUAAAUCAGUUCUUGAUUUUGAUUUGAUAAGGAAAAAUGGAUUUUAUUCUAAAUGUUGCAACAGGAGGAACCUGAUGCUCCAGAAGAGCCGUUGGAUUCUAAAGGUUCCACACCUCUGCCUGUUUUAUGUGUAGAAGAUGGUAUGGUAAUCUUACGGUUUUCAGAAAUAUUUGGUAUCCAUGAGCCCUUGAAGAAAGCGGCCAAAAGAGACCGUGGCUAUUUCACUCAUAGAGGUAUGUUGUCUAUGAUAAAAUGUUCAUACUUAAUGUGUUGUUAAAUCUAGUAGUGUGUGCAUGACAUCAAUUUUGGAGUUCAUAUGCACAAAAAAACUUGCACCUUUGUCUGUGUUAUUGGCCAUUGAUAUGGAACAUUUUAUGGCAAUAAAAGCAACAGAGGAAAAUAUAUCUUGGUGACUUUAGUUGCCAGUUCCCUAGAUCCCUUCAUUUUCACCAGUUGUGAUUUUUGGUUUUCCAUGUCAUUUGUCCAGAGAAGUACAAAUCUAUGGAUGCUUCUGAUCUUGUUGAAGAGGAUGAAGAGGCGUUUCUAAAGGACGCUGGUCAAGGUUUCUCAUUUAUUGGUUGGGAAAAUGCCAUCCAACAAGAUAGAUCUGAAUUUACGGAUGACGCUUUGGUGAAAGGAGGCUUGGAAAUUUCUGAACAUAGUGAAGAGCAUGUUAAGGAUAGUUAUUCAAAUCCAGAGGCAAUGAAAGAGGGGGUAGUAGUAAAUCUUUCUUCUGGGUUGCAGUCACCUUCACGUCCAAGGUUUUUUCCUCUUGAUCAGUUGGACUGGGAAGAACAAAUUGUUUGGGACAAUUCACCUGCAAGAAGUGGCAAUUCUUUGGAGAGUCCUGAAAUCUCUGUCUCUGAUUUGGAGGCGUCAGUUUCAAGAGAGACCAUUCCAGAGGCGGGGCAAAAUCUACUUUCUGAGCAGUCUACAGAAUCCUAUAAGAAGGACCAUGAUAGUGGCCUUUGUCAUUCCUCUAUUGUCUUGGAAUCGUUAGACUCAAAAACUUCUUCAGGACCUAUGGACCUGCCAUUCUUGGAAAGCAGAUUCCAUCCCCAACUCUUGAGGCUGGAAUCGCAGUUGAGAGUAGAUUCCUUAAAUGAUUCUGACGGUAAAACAGAUGUUACCAUGGAUCCAGAUAAAAGUGAUGUGAUGAAGUGUUUUAGAAAACUUACAUUGCAAAACACAGAUAUAACUGAAGGGUCAUGGUUAGACAAUAUUAUAUGGGAACCACAUAGUGUUAUUGCAAAGCCUAAGCUAAUUCUUGAUCUUCAAGAUGAACAGAUGCUUUUUGAAAUUUUAGAUAACAAUGAAAGUAAACAUCUUCAACUUCAUGCCGGGGCCAUGGUCAUUGCUCGAUCUGCAAAGCCAAGCAGUCGUUCUUCCGAGGUCUCGGAUCAUAAACAUCAAUCUGGUUGGCAAUUCAAUAUUGCUAAUGAUAAGUUCUACUUGAACCGUAAAGUUUCUCAGCAGUUACAAUCAAAUCCUAAUAAACGCAUGGCUCACGGUGUCAGAGUUCAUCAUUCAGCACCUGCACUUAAACUUCAAACAAUGAAGUUGAAGUUGAGCAAGUAGGUGUUCUUAUUAUAUCUUUUUAUUGUUUCAAUUCUUGUAUUUUCCUUUGGUAGCUUUGAAUACAUGCUUAUUUGUUUAUUUUUUUAUGCUGCUGAUAUAUGUACAUAAACUGGCAUUUGCAAUUGAGUUGUGUUCAGUUUGAAAAUUCAUAAAAAUUUUGCAGCUCUUUCUCAGGCUUAAAUUUAUUGGCAAUAUAUGUCGAUUUAUUCUAUCUACUAAAAUGAAGUUCAGUUUGUUUUAUCAAAGUAGUUUCAUCUAAUUAGUGAAAAGAGAAUAGAAAGGGUACAACAAAGGAGAGACUGAAGUCUCUUCCUGGUCUGACUUUGUAUAACAUCCUAUGCAUGCCAACUACUGGGGAAGGGAAGGAGAGGGUACAAAGGGAGAUGGAGUAUAGGGAGAAAGAUAAUAUAAAGUUCCCCAUGUUUGGGUUGCUUGAGAAGGGAGCACUAAUUUACUGACUUUGUUGGUUAAGAAUUUCUAAAGGUAGGAAAUGGUAGCCCAUAAUUUCUUUAUGAUGGAAAUAUUAAAACCAUCCUCUGUAUUGAAAGGAUAUUGAAACUAGAGAAAUUGUAGCAAUCUACCCCUCUUCCCUUUAAUCAAACAAGUCCCUGGUGCAUUAUGCUAAUGCACCCUUGAUUAGCAUUUGAUUUAAUUUUUAGCAAUGAGGAAGAUUCUGGUAUGGCACUGUAGUAUUUAUCCAAGAAAAAGUACUCUUUAUUACCCUGGUAUUUUUUUACAACAAAAGCAGAGCCCUUCUGAUUGAAGGUUUCUUAUAUUUGGUUUCUGAGUAGAGUAGUUAAUAGCUCAUUAGCGACUGUUGGCUGCCAAUCUUGGCACAAUCUACAAAAUUUUCACUAUUACAAUUGCUCUUGGGUAGGUUGUUGCUGUUAUCUAGCAGAAUAAGCCUUGAUCUUGCAUAUUUGUUAUCAUCUCUCUCUAUGCAAGUGCUUUUAAAAUUCUUUAGAACAAUGUCAUGCUAUAUUGGUGUAUUCCUGGUUAAAAAUUUUGUUUUAUAUUACUUCUAGCUCUUUCACAAUACUUGCUUUGCAAUACUGUGAAUAUAAUGUUCAUUACGUGUUAGAUUUCAGCUUUUGAGUUUAAUCUGUGAUCUUGCAGUAAAGAUUUAGCAAAUUUUCACCGCCCAAGAGCAAUAUGGUAUCCGCAUGACAUCGAGGUGGCUGUCAGGCAACAAGGGAGGCUGCCAACACAAGGACCCAUGAAAGUCAUAUUGAAGAGCUUGGGAGGCAAAGGUAGCAAACUACAUGUUGAUGCUGAGGAAACGGUCUCUUCUGUAAAAGCAAAGGCUUCUAAAAAGCUAGGUACUCAAAUAUCAGUUUUAUUAGCUAUGAACCAGAAGAUGUUUGCUCUUUUAAGUUAUUGCUUUAUGAACUUUAUGGUGUCUGGAUAACUGAAGGAUCUUAAAAGUUCGUUAUGGAAUUAUAUUAUUGUAGAUUUCAAGCCAUCAGAAACAGUGAAAAUAUUUUAUCUUGGGAAGGAGCUUGAAGACGAUAUGUCUCUUGCUGCCCAAAAUGUUCCUCCAAAUUCUCUGCUUCAUCUUAUUCGCACAAGAAUACAUUUGUGGCCAAGGGCACAAAAACUUCCGCGAGAGAAUAAGUCUUUACGGCCUCCCGGGGCAUUUAAGAAAAAAUCUGAUCUUUCUGUGAAAGAUGGUCAUGUCUUUCUUAUGGAGUAAGUUUCAACGCCAUUUUAUGUCCUGUUAAUACAUUUUAAAAUCUUGUGUUAUGGCAUCUUCCCAAUGGAGCAUAGUAGUAGCAUAUGAUCCAUAUAGUUGAUCCUAUGUAGUAGAGGAAGGUUUAUUCUUUCCUACCACUUAGGAAGAUUGGGCAUCAUGUUUGAGCAGAUAUGCCAGGCUAGGUAUUAAUGUACUGGUUAUGUGAUGGUUUCUGAUGUUUUUAACUGUCCUCAUGUUCUCCACGCUCUGGUUUGACCUAGCCAUUAUCUGAUGAAGCAUUUGAAGCUUGUAUCUGUCCAUCUUUUAUACUAUAAACUGCUAAACUCUGGAAGCUUUCAAUGUGGAAGCACAUGUAUAAUUUUGAAGUAAAUACCCUAAAAUACCAUAAAUUGUCUCUGUAGUCUGAAAUAAACAUGUUCUGUUAUUUGAAUUUCUGGGUUUGAUAGAUUUUGUUUACUUCCUUUUGAUGGAGAGAAUUUAAACAUAACAAAGAUCCUUGUUGAGCUAAUUUUCACAUAAUGGAAAUUAGUUCUACCCAUUUCUGUUAUGUUGUGGGUUAGAACAAGAAAUAAUAAGACUAGGCCUUGUUAAUUUUUUAGUAAAAUUUCUUAGCAUUAGCUGUUAAUUUUUUCUUCUCCAUUGGAUUUUGAACUUCCACUUGGAUAUAAAUUAAUGCUUCCUCUUUAUUAUUAUUAUUAUAUGAACAAUUUUCAUUAUCAUGAAUUUAGGGUUCUUGUGAAAAUAGGUAUAUUUCAGAUGGAAUUCUCAAGAGACCUUCACUAUUUUUUCACGGUUCAGGUACUGUGAGGAGAGGCCUUUACUUUUGAGCAAUGUGGGGAUGGGUGCGAACUUGUGCACCUACCAUCAGAAAACAUCUUCUGGUGAUCAAACUAGUGGAUUGUUACGCAAUGGAAACGAAACCUUGGGAAAUGUUCUGCUUCUAGAGCCAGCUGAUAAAUCACCUUUUAUUGGAGAUAUUAAAGCUGGCUAUAGCCAGUCAUCUCUAGAAACAAACAUGUACAAGGCUCCCAUAUUUUCCCACAAGGUGCCAUCAACUGACUUCCUAUUGGUUAGGUCACCAAAGGGAAAGCUUUCCAUACGACGUAUUGAUAGGAUUGCUGUUGUAGGACAACAGGUUUGUUUCAGCUAUAGGUUUUUCUGCAUGUAGCCUUCCAUGAAAUUAUAUCAAACUUGUUCCAUGAAUUCUACGGAGUUGUUGCAAUUUGGUGCUGAUUACAUUCGGGUUACUGAUUUUGUGCUGCAUGUUACUUGUUCUGCCCAUAUACUCAAUUGAUGUGUUGGCUGCCUGUUUACACCUGUAUUAGUGUUGCCCUUGUUGAUAUCUGUUAGCCAGGAUGGAACUGGCAUUUAUAAAGAAAUCUUAACCUGCAUGGAGCCUGUUUUCUUCCUGUUAUAUUAUUAGUUAUAUGCUUUGUAUUUGAGGCCAGAUAUGAGUAAAUUUUUAGAGAAGAGAUGUAGAAUUGAUGUCUAACAUCCAUUCAAUUUUAGGGCAUGGCCUGUCCAGUGAUCAGUUUGGAUUAACCUUCAAAUAAGGACUGGAUGCUCUAAUCUAUGAUGUGCUUGACAUAUAUUUUUAAUUAAGUAGACUACCAUUGAAUUCCUUGCUAGAAUCAAUAGAGUUGAAUCAAUUCAUCAUGUGUUUACGGGGUGUGAGUUUUUCUGGAACAAGCAAAUAUCCUAUGGUCACUUUUGUGUUGUCAGAAAUUUAAAUUUUGCAUAGUUCUCUUCUCUAACUUAAACUUUGUGUGAAUAAUUGCUAGUAACAGUAAUUAUUUGUAAGUUGAGGGUGGACAAAGGACAAAGAGACUAGAUUGAGGCUUCUAUCUGUGGUUGGGGCUUGGGGUACUUGUAUGUGAAUUUAUGCACAUUUUGUUUAUGCAUAGAGUGAAAUGCAUGUUUAUGAACAUGGGUUUCUGAUGCUAACAGAUUGUUAAUUUAACUUCGGCACCAUUUUUGUUAAACUAUGGGAAGUUUUCCAUGCUAAGUAGUUCCAGCUCGAGAAUUAUCUUGUCUGCUGGUACAUCUUUCAGUUAGGGAUGUUAAAUGCAUAAGUUUUGAUGCUUAUUUCAUACCCAUAUUGAGGUUGGGUUUUCUUAGCCCAUUUCUAAUUGGUUUUCAGUUGGAUGCUUAGCAAGGUCUUAGUGAAUAGGUUGGUUGUUGUUUGUUACUUUUUGUUCCCCCAGUCCUGCAAUUUUCAAGAUAAAUCCAUCUAGUAGAGGAUGGUAUGUGCACAUUAGUUCAUUUGAGUUUAUAUAAUGUUCUCUGUUAGUUUGUUAAGGAAUCAGCAUAAUGCAUAUAUCCGUUUCUGAUUUAUCCAAUUUUCCUUACGCAGGAGCCUCUCAUGGAGGUAUUUGCUCCUGGAUCAAAGAAUAUUCAGACAUAUCUUAUGAACAGAAUGCUGGUUUAUGUGUAUCGGGAGUUUUCCGCGUCUGCCAAACGUGGUUUGAUCCCAUUCAUGGGUACAGAUGAGUUGUUUACUCAUUUUCCUAACCUUUCAGAUGCAAUUGUCCGGAAAAAGCUGAAGGAAUGUGCUUAUUUGCGGGUAAUUUUUGUAGUCUUUAUUUUUUUGAAUUCUGGUUAACUAAAAAGUUGCUUGAUACCUGCUUUAUAUUCCUAUUUAUGUCUAUGAUCCUCAAAUUUUAAUGCUUAUUACUUUUCUGAUUCAUUCUUCUAUUAUCUCCUGUUGACUUAUUUGCUACACUUGCCUACUUUGCAUCUUAGAGGGAUAAAAAUGGACGACAGAUUUGGUCCAUGAAGCCAGAUUUCCACAUUCCACCUGAAGGCGUUCUUAGGAAGUUGGUGUCUCCGGAGCAUGUGAGUUUCACUAUCUUUUGUCUUAUUUGUUUCUUUUUCUUUACCUUGUAUAUUUGGGUCCUAUGUUAUAAGUGCAAGCAGAAUUAAGAUGUAGGCAAAUUGCUUUUACAAUAUAGAAAAGGUAUUUAGAAGGUAUAUUCCCGGUGUUGCAUAAUAUCAUAGCCAUUUUUAAUUUAACAAUGCUGCCUCGGUUGGAGCAAACAUUUGUCUCAAUAGUUCAUGCAUGAGGCCCUUUCUCUACCCUUAAACGAAAAUAUGUAUAUGUAUAUAUUAUAUAUUUCUCCUGUUAGAUAUGGUGAAAUAUUGGUUUGUGUGUUUGGUGGAUAAUAUCAAAUAACAUGCCUUUACGAUGGUAUCUGCUUGGUUGUUGAUUUUACACUUAUUUUGGUAUUUUCCUUAUGUGUACCAUAUGAACCAACAAGCUUUAUACCUUCUUUUCGGUGUUUUUAUUGUUCUUAAAAACUAUUCUGGAAGAUAAUUGAAUAGUAAAAUAAAAUUUUCCUCCGCAAGGUUCUUCAUUUCUACCCCUUCUAUUAAUUUUUUCUCCAUAUUUAAAAUCAAUAUGCUUUUAUUUCCAUUUAUUGGAGAAUAAAAACAUAAUGAAAAACAAGAUGAUUUGUUAUUGAUCGUGGCCCUUUCAUGAUUCAAAAUGUUUAUUAUGAAGUGAGAACAUAGAAAGGCUAUGAGGUUAGAAAUGCAUGCGCUUCCAUAUAUUCACCUAUCUUGAUUUUUUAAUUUCUCAAUCCUGUUCAGGUGUGUGCCUAUGAAAGCAUGCAAGCUGGCCUGUAUCGGCUUAAACAUUUAGGAAUUACACGACUUACAACUCUUACCAGUGUUUCAUCUGCAAUGAGUCAACUCCCUGAUGAAGCUAUAGCUCUGGCUGCUGCAUCACACAUUGAACGGGAGCUGCAGAUAACUCCAUGGAAUCUGAGUAGCAAUUUUGUUGCAUGUACAAGCCAGGUAAAUACAACUUCUGCUAAUAAAAAAGCACUUGACUUUUUGCUUUUCAAAUAGGUAAAAGCAACAAAAUUGCAUCUUAUGAAGUUGACCUUUCCAAUAAUAUUCUUUAAAAAUGUUUUGAUUGGGAAAGUGGCUUGUUAAGUAAGAAUUUGCUGUUUUAUUGUAUCAUUACUUUCUACUCUUCCCUUUUUCCAGGACAGAGAUAAUAUUGAGCGCCUGGAGAUAACUGGUGUUGGUGAUCCUUCUGGUCGAGGUUUAGGAUUUAGCUAUGUCCGUACCGCUCCAAAGGCUCCUGUGUCAAAUGCUGUGAUGAAGAAGAAAACAGCUGCUGCUCGUGGAGGUUCUAGUGUGACUGGUACGGAUGCUGACCUCCGCAGAUUAAGCAUGGAGGCAGCACGAGAGGUCAGUUUUUAUUGCAGAAACACAUUUAUUAUUGAAGUCUGACAAGAAAUUUGUCAAUUUCUUUUGCCAUUUUGAUAUUACCUAUAGUUACUAUAGCUUUUAGAUGGUGGUGGAUAUUCUAUGAUGUUACAUCUUCUUAAUGCUAUGUCGUAUGUACAAGAUAUAAAUUAGUUGUCUCUAAGCUUCUGCAUCUGUCAAAAUAUGCAGAAAGCCUGCAACUUUUCAUUUAAAGAAGCUUAAGACUUGAGAAGUUUUCAUAGGUUGAUUCAGGUCUAGAAUCAAGAUAAAUAAAGACAACUUCUGAUUUUGUUGUUAAUGACCUUUUGUUUUCUUGUUGUCUGUGGUAUGCAUGCUGAAGGUCAAUAAUAUUGGAAUAAAAGCAUUCAAGUAUGAAUGUUCUGACAUGUUUGAGUUCAGGAACAAAAGAAACUUUCAAAUUUACUGCAAAAAUAUUUAAAUUGAUGAUGUGAACAUUGAAAUCAAUUAUCUAGUUUGCUAAGGCAACAGCUUUUGCUUUAUUCAUUCAAUCCUUUUUGCUUUUCUGAAGAGGAAUAAGGAGGGUGGUGUUGGGUUUUAUAAUAGAGUUUCUAGACAAAUCUUUGAGUCUGAAUUGCUUCUAUCCUAAUUGCUUGAGUAAGUACAUGUCUAAUAGUGCAGUUAGUUAUACAUGACAUGUAGAUGAACGGCAGUGUAAUGUCUGAUAGUAAUAGGUUCAAUAUCAAGGACCAUCAGUGGUCUCUUAUCUUUUGCCCUUGUCAUCACUCCAAACUGAACUUUUUAUAUAGCAUAAACAAUUAUCUAGUUUAACAAAGUUCAGUUUUCAAUUCUUACUGCAAUGGUAUAUUGUUUUGAACAAUUUGUUGUUUCCAAGUUAAUAAAUUUAGGUAAAAAUGGCUGACUUGUUGCCCUUUUAUGUUUUUACAAGUGUGCUGUAAAUUUUUUGGUUUGUAUCUGCUGUCUCUUAACUGCUUUUUCUUUUUACCAGGUACUUUUGAAGUUCAAUGUUCCUGAUGAAGUGAUUGCAAAACAAACUAGGUGGCACCGUAUUGCAAUGAUACGCAAGCUCUCAAGUGAGCAAGCUGCAUCAGGAGUCAAGGUUGAUCCAACAACUAUAAGCAAGUAUGCACGGGGACAGCGAAUGUCCUUUCUUCAGUUACAACAGCAAACCAGAGAAAAAUGUCAGGAAAUAUGGGAUCGCCAAAUUCAGUCUCUUUCAGCUGUUGAUGGUGAAGAAAAUGAAAGUGAUUCUGAGGCAAAUAGUGAUCUUGAUUCCUUUGCUGGCGACCUAGAAAAUUUGCUUGAUGCAGAGGAAUUCGAAGAAGGGGAAGAAGGUAACAACAAUAACAAGGUUGACAAAGCAGAUGCUGUUAAGGGGCUCAAGAUGAGAAGACGUCCCUAUAAGGCUCAGGCAGAAGAAGAAAUUGAAGAUGAAGCUGCUGAAGCUGCUGAAUUAUGUCGUUUACUCAUGGAUGGUAUCAAUUAUUUCAUCCCCACAGUGUUUAUUCUUAUUUCUUUUGCUGAAAAGAAAAUAAACUUAGCCUUAAGAAGCUCAAUAUGUUCCCUUGGUUUGUGAAAAUAGUGUCCUGGAAAAUAUUCUCUGGAUUCCCAGUGUCUAUUGCUGCAGAAAAUACAGUGGUCACCCUGACCUGAGUUUUUGAAAAUAAAUUGUCAUUGCAAUAAUUAGCUGUGUGUUUUACAGAAGUUACAUUUAUUGCUGAAAUGACUGUUAAAUUAACUUCUUAAAUUGACUCUUGUUUCUUUAAAGUUCGGUCGAAUCCUUGAAUUCAUCAAACUUACUCUUGCUCACCUGUUAAUGUUCUAUUUGCACAAUCUCUAUUGUGAGUCAAGAAAAUUAUUGUAGUGUGUUUUACUUGUAUCAUCUGAAUAUUCUGUUAGGAGAAUAAAUAAUUAUGAUUUAUGUAAUUGACCAACUACUCUCCUUGUUAGAUGAGGAUGACCAAAAGAAGAAAAAAAAGAAGAAAAACAAAGCUGUUACAGAAGAUGCUGGGUUGACUUUCGGCUUACAACCACGCAUUGGUGUUGAGAGUUUACAAUGUGUUAAGAAAACAAGCAUAAUUCCCAAGCAAAUUGUUCGUUCUACUCAAUCUAAUGGGUCAUAUCCUCUGAAUGAGAAUAUUGUCAAGGAUACAAAGGAUGUAAGACAAGUUACCUUAAUUAUGUGGAUUAAUCAUAUUACCUGUUUUGACAUAUUCUGUCUAGUCUUUGCUCUUUGGGCAGCUUUGCCCAUGUUAAAGAUGCAUAAGGGUUUUAGUGACUGAGGUGUGCUUUGAUGGCAGAUUGAAAGUAGAAUUUUUAAAGGGAGCGUGUCUGGAAAGUUGAAAGGAAUGAAAAAAAAUGGUAUGCCAAACACAGGUCCAUUAACUAAAGUCAAAAUAUUGGGAGACAAUGUUAAGGCAAGUGCGCUCUUCUCUUCAUCUUUCUUUUUCUUCUUUUUAAUAGAAAGACAGGUGAGCUUGUUGAUAUCAUAUUGAGUAUAUUGUGUAGAUAUUGCAUGAACAUUGUUUUUGAAUUUCUUGUCAUUUAUAUUUCAACCUGGGAAGUUCUUUGGCAUUUCUUCUUUGUAUGCUUAUGUUAUGUAGAGUAUUAGAUAUCUUUUUCUUAUUCUAAACUACUUCACUUUCCUAUCUUAAAUCAGUUGUUCAAGGAGAAGAAAUCAUCUAGAGAAACUUUUGUCUGUGGAGCUUGUGGUCAGGUAUGCAACUUAUUGAGGUAGUGUGAAUCUUAGUUUUUGAUUUUCUAGGACAAUAUAAUCGACCGUUAUCUUUUGGUGGACUAGCUUGGACACAUGAGGACCAACAAGCACUGCCCCAAGUAUGGAGAAGAUCCAGAAACGCAGGUUGAAGCUACUGAGUUGGAAAAAACUCCAGGGAAAUCAACUUCACUAGAACCCUCUGGUCAGUCCCAAUUGAAGAUGAUGAAAAAGAAGCUCAUAACUAAAAGUGCGACAAAGAUAGCAGUUGUAGAAGCUUCGGAGGGUGAAAAAUCUAGUACAAACACAAAAGCUCUUCCAUUGAAAUUCAAAUGCUCUACUGAUAGGCCGUCUGAUAAACUUACUUCUGGAGGGACACAAAGUUCUGACAUUCCAGUCACUUCUGAUCCAGAAAAUGGAGCCAAAUCUGCUGCCAAGGUUAGUAAAAUAAUUAUUUCCAACAGGGCUAAGCCUGAUGAAAUGCAGGUUGAGUCUCAUAAUGUGCCUGUUGUUAUACGGCAUCAAGUGGAUACCGAUAGAGGCCAAGCUGAAUCCCAUAAGAAAUCUAUUGUUAUAAAGCCACCGACAAACAUGGAGAGGGACCAAGUUGAACCUCAUAAACCCUCUGUUGUCAUACGCCCACCAGCGGAUAAAGAUAAGGAUCAACCUCAAAAAAAAAUUAUAAUCAAGCGACCGAAGGAAGUUAUUGAUUUGGAUCAACUUAGUCAAGAGGGAGGCACUUAUCCCGAGUACAGGAAAACAAAAAAAAUAGUUGAAUUGUCAAGCUUUGAGAAGCAUGGGAAGCAGGAAAGCUUGCGAUUAAUGGAGCCAAAAGCAAGACGGAAAGCUAAAGAGGAGAGAAGAUGGUGGGAAGAGGAAGAGAAGAGGAGAAAUGUGGAGAGAAUAAGAGAAGACAGGGCAAGGAAGCUUUAUGAGGAAGAAAUGAGACUGCUGGAAGAGCGAGAAAGAUUUGCUGAGAUCACAAGAUACACUGAAGACAUUCGAAGAGAGAGGGAGGAAGAGGAACGCCAAAAAGCAAAGAAGAAAAAGAAGAAAAAGGCUGAAAUAAAAGAGGAUUAUUUAGAAGACUACAGGACAAGAAGAAAUGACAGAAGAGCACCGGAAAGAGAUCGAGGUGCAAAAAGGAAACCUGUUGAGUUAGGACGAUAUGGUGCAGAGUAUGUCCCUCCAACAAAGCGGCGCAGAGGGGGAGAGGUAAUUACAUUUCUUCUUCAUUGCUUCCGUUUGCCUUGGUUUUAUCUUUUUCUUUUAUUUCUCUUUUACAACUCCUGAUGGUACAUGUAUCAACUCUAGUAUCAUGGAAAUUGAAACUAGGCUCAGAUAAUGAUCUGGUGGAAUUGCAAUUGAAUUUUGUUCUUUAAGAUUGAAAGUUCACGGAUAUUUUUAUAUGCUUUACUUUGUGGCUUUGUUCCAUGGUAUGUGCAUAAACACUAUAAUGCUCUUUUCUUUUCUUUUCUUUUUGGCUUCAUUCCAUGGUAUGUGUGUAAACUAUACGUUAUUGAAUUGGUACUGUGGUGGUAUUAAUACCUCUAUAAUCACAAUGCUAUUUUUUAUAGUGCAGACGUUCUGAACUCAAAUGGGACGAGUGUACUUUAAAUUAAAUUAUUGUGAAAAACAGGGGGAUUUAAAUAUUUUAUCCGAAAAGCAGAAUCUAUGAGUUAUUGUAAUAGAUUUCUGAGCUUAACUACAUAAUAAGCAUAAUACUUUAUAGAUAGUUGGAACCGCAUGAUUCUGUAUUUGAUGCAAAUUCUAUUUCAUGUGUUUGAAUGGACACUAAAGGUACAUUUGUUGAGGGACUGUAAAUCUCUGUCAUUGUAGAAAAAAUAAAGGAAAAAAAAAGAAAGAAAUUUAUGUGUGAAUCACAAAAAAUUCUGCAAUUUUUGUGAAUUUUCUGUAAUGUUGGCAACAAAAAUGAACAAGUAUAGCCGCUGUAAACCCGCUAGUAAUCCAUUCAUCAUCUGGAAGCCUCUAGUAAAUUUUUACAAAAUGAGAAAGUUAUGAAGAAAUAAAAUUAUGUAAUGAGAGAACUAAAUGAUUCUUACAAAGGUUUGGAGCAUGUAAAGCCGCUAGUAAAUUUUCUUAUGCCUUAACUAUUACCAUUAAUCCAUCAAAUUUGCUGCUUAAUAUAUUCUUCAAUUGAUUGCCCUGCAGGUUGGUUUGGCCAACAUCUUAGAGCGGAUUGUAGAAACACUUAGAGAUAAUACCGAGGUGUCCUAUCUGUUCUUAAAACCAGUGUCCAAGAAGGAGGCCCCUGACUACUUGAACAUUGUAAAGCACCCAAUGGAUUUGUCCACAAUAAGGGACAAGGUUAGGCGGAUGGAAUACAAAAAUCAAGAAGAAUUUAGGCAUGAUGUAUGGCAGAUUGCCUACAACGCUCAUAUCUACAAUGAUGGUCGUAAUCCUGGUAUUCCUCCUCUUGCCGAUCAGCUUUUGGAGCUUUGUGACUACUUGCUACAUGAGUAUUCUGAUAACUUGGCUGAAGCUGAAGCAGGUAUAGGGGAAGCUUAAUCGGAUAACACAUUUAAAAUCAUUCAUCAUCUGAAAGCCAAAAUUCCCUCACAGUAGAACUGCUGCUUCUCUGGGUUCUAGGGGUUUCCAGGCUUUGAACCAUGGUAAUAGAGCUUUGCAUAUGUAUAGUCGAAACCUCGAGUGCUCGAGUCGUUUCAGGCAUAAAAAAGAACCUAGUUCAUAUAGGAUUAUUAUGGGUAAGAAAAAGGGAUGGUGACAACCUAGGUGACAUAGCCAGUAAGGACGUCUAGAGAUGAAAGCUUGUAGUGAAGCAGAUCCCAGUUGAAAGCAUUAGCCGUUGAAGACUAAAAGACCCCCAAGGCAGUCAUUCAGAAGAGCUUCAUGUCUGCAUACUGUUGGCCAAGAGAUGAAUCAUUCCCAUGAAAAUAUGGGACCUAUCAGGCAAUUAUCUUGAAGAGCUUUCAUCUUUUGGCAUUUAUUAUGUUUUGCUUGGGGGAAGAAUCUGAAGCUGGUGGGUGUAAUGCUUCAGUUGUUUACAAGAUAAAAAAACUUGGGCAGUCAAAAGUCCUUUCCACAUAGGUUAGUGUGAUUCAAGUUUUAUUUAACAUUUUUAAUAAUAACUUGUGAGAGAGGGAAGCUGAUAUAUAGUGAAGAAUUUUGAUGCACAAUUGAUUAACUGUCUGUACCACAAAUAUCUAUGUAACCUCUAAUGUAUUUUUCUCCCUUUUCUUGUUUCCGAUUGUAAAGAAUUUUAAUUCAUUUGUGUUUAAUUUUAGUUAUUAAAAAAACGAAUUUAUGAUGGAACAUUUAAAUAAAUCAAUUUAUGAUUUGUGAACAGAAAUUUAGGUUGUCAUAUUUGCUUUUCCUCGUCAUUAUGUAUUGCUAUUUUGAGUUUUGAUCUUUUCCUAGUAUAAGUGUACAUGUUUUCUUCCUCUUGUAGUAGCUUUUACAAUCCCACAAUUUUGUAAUUAUUUAAUCACAAUCACAAUUUAUUAAAAGAUUUCAUGAAUCUCAUAUAAUGUUCGGUGAAUGAGAAUUAGUCAAUUACCUAGUCUCAGAACGGAUGAAUUCAGGUUUAACAAUCAAUUUGAAACGUCAGAAGUUACUAAAAGUAGAAUCAAAUUAGAGGCCUUUCUUCUUUGAAUUUUCAACACAGGAAGAAAUUAUUGAAAUUAAUGAACCUAGCCAAUAACUUGAUGACAAUGACAGCAAACAUCACAACUAUUCAGCUAGUCCUGUACAAUAAACUAGCUAGAACAUCAAUCAGCAAUACACACAUAUAUACAUGUGUGAUAGUAGUUUCCUUUAUAAGUACAGAUUUCCUGCAGAAAUUGGAAGUUCCAUCGACCCUCCCUCAGAUCCUAGUAGGGCAAAUUGAUUACUUAUUCCUGCAACUGAGCAAAGGGAGAGUACAGCUGAAAAAAGAUAAUCAAGCUGAACUUUCAAUGUUGAUGAGCAAUGAAAUUUCCCAUGGCCUUUCCCAUCCUUUUCAUCAUUACCGGUCAAAGUUAGGUCGCUAGACCCGUGAUCUUCACGUACUGUGAAACCAAGCUUUUCUUCCCCUGGGGACACACUCUCACUCCAAACUCUUUUCUUUCGCCUUUUUUGCUCUCUCCAAAGCUAUAAAUAAGUCCCAAUAUCUACCAAUUUUUCCGCAUCAGACACAGAUUUCCACCAAAAAUGGCAACAUUCACGGUGAAAAACAGUCUUAUUGCUGUCAUCCUAGCGCUCAUUCUUGCUGGAGCCACGCCUGGAAUCAUGGUGAAAGCACAGUGUGUUAACAGUUGUGAACAACCAAAUGAAUGUUGCAGUCAAUAUGGGUACUGCGGAGAAGGUCCCGAGUUCUGCGGCGCAAACUGCCGAGGGGGUCCUUGUACUAACAAUGGCGUUUCCAUAGCUGAUAUCGUUACACCUGAAUUCUUUAAUGGGAUAUUGAAUCAGGGCUCAAGUUGCGUAGGCAGAAACUUUUACUCCAGAGAAGCUUUUCUUGAUGCUCUCACGUCUUUCACUCGCUUUGCAAGGUCUGGCUCAGUUAAAGAUUCCAGGCGUGAGAUUGCUGCUUUCUUUGCCCAUGCGAGCCAUGAAACUGAACGUAACCUCUCUUAUAAUGUCCUUUUUCAAAAGUACCCUAUACGUAGAAUUGUUCAAUGCUGAGCGAUAAGCUGUUGUUGUUGUUUCCAGGUUUUUGCCACAUAGAAGAGACAGAUGGGGCCAAGAAGGAUUACUGCAAUGAGACAGUGACAGAGUAUCCAUGCGCUCCGGGCAAAGGUUACUAUGGGCGUGGACCAUUGCAACUAUCAUGGAACUACAAUUAUGGGCCAGCUGGUUUGGAGCUUGGGUUCGAUGGUUUAGGUGCUCCAGAAACGGUGGCCAAUGACCCUGUUAUCGCCUUCAAAGCUGCCCUAUGGUUUUGGACCAAAAAUGUUGCAGCAGCCAUAAGCCAAGGAUUUGGGGCGACCAUUGAAGCCAUUAAUCCAAUGGAGUGUGGUGGUGGAGAGCCUCGGAAAGUGCAGUCUCGGAUUGAUUACUUCACAGGGUAUUGUAAUCAACUUGGUGUUACUCCUGGGGGUAGUCUCAACUGUUAGCAACAAUAAACAAAGUUAUUUCUUUUAAUUGUUUUACUCCAAUUUUGAUUUUCUUUUAAAAAAAAGGUUAAUAUGGUCAUUGAAAAUGUGAGAAAUAAAUGUUUUAAGAAAAAUAAUUGUGAUUUUAAGUCCAAAAUUUUGGAAAUCAAUUAAUAAAUGUUGAGAGGGAAAAGUUAUUGUCCAUUAAUACUCAAUUGCGAUGGGCUUUCUAAUUUUUUAAAUGUCAAAUUUAUUCACUGCUUUUUUAAUUUUCCUAUUUCUAUUUAAUUUCCAAACCAAAUCAUCUCAACAAUCUUCAAUUAGUAUUAGAUAUUCAACAAAUUGACCUAAUUUUAAAAAUAAACAAUUAAGUACGUCAAUUUUAUAUAAUUUUUAUCGGUAACAAUUUUAGCUUCAAUAUUUACAUUUCUUUUUAAUUUGGUCUUUAUUCUAAACAAUUCAACAGAUUUAACUUCCAUAUCUACAUAUUUCAACAAAUAUUAUUGGCUAAAUUUAUUAAAUCAUGACCAAAUUAAUAAAAUUUGUAAAUUAGGAGAGCUAAUUAUGUGACAUUGACAAAACAUAUUAGUGUGAAUGAUUACUUGUCCUUAAUUGCUCACUUUUAAAAUUAACAGAAUCAAAUUGCCCCAAUUUUUUUUGAGAGAGAUGAUAUAAGUUUUUUUACUCUCAAUUUUUAAAAAAUUAUUUUUUAUACAUUUAAUAGUGGAUAUUUUAGCGGAGCAACAUAACUUAAUGCGGCAUUGGAAGGGAUAGGUGCCAGAUAAUGCAAAAUAUUACAUUACAACGUGGAUCAUAACUCUGAAUUUUGUAGACCUUCAAUAAUUUAUCCCAAACUAACGUGAAAGUGAACAAUCAUUCCCACAAAAGGAAAUUCAAUCAAAGAAUCAUGUUUUUCAUCAUUUACAUUUGUGUCAUACAGCUUCUUCGUCCUACCUACUAAAAUUUGCAGGCUAUCUUAAUCUAAAAAAUAAAAAAAUUAUAAAGUGUUGGGUGUACAGUGUACUUUGUUUAAGUUCCAUGGGUGGUGAACUUUGCCCUAGUGACCAGGUCCUUGAGGACUAGGUCCCGAAGCUAACCGCUGGAGCCAAUACGACAUGGUGGAUCUUGCCUUGUGGUAAACCGACGAGUAAGUUUCCAUAUGAUUUCCGUUUCCCAAAUCUUCCCGUAAAACUCUGGCAGCUUCAACGCUCACAUCGCUCAACACUGCCAUUGAUAUGACGCAUAUCAUCAAAAGCGUACUUACUUUCCUGCUAUUCAUCUUCCCCAAACACUAGUCUUAAACACCAGAAGAAACAAAAAAAAAAAAAGGCUAAUAAACUUUGAAGAUUAUAUUGAAUAUGCAGUAAGAGAAGCUUAAUUAGGGUCCUUGGUGUUGUGAAUGAAGAGAACUUGGAACUGAAUAUCAGGUUUAUAUAGGAACAAAAGAAUACAAAGGUUUACAAAGUCAUGCUAGAACAGCUAAAAUGAUCAAAUAUGUGGGAAAAAAAUGGUGGGCUUUUUGGGACUAUACAAUUCGUGUUGACCAAGGAUUUUGUGCUGAGUCAUAC